GUUGGGAUACAUUAAAGUCCCCGCUUGGAUACCUUUAAAAACGUAACAUAGUUAAAUUAUGUUAAGCCGGUAGAAAAAUAAUUCUAUAAAGUAUUUAAAAGAAAAAAAAAAUAACGUAAUUUUUGGAGUAUAGUUAUACUAUACUCCAAAAAAUAGAGUAAACUUAUAAUCUACUUUAACCAAAGAAAAAAAAAUUCCACUAUUUUGGGCUUCUAAAGAUGUAUCAAUUUCUAAAUUUUAAAUUUCAAUAUAAAAUUUUAAAUUUUAAAAUUCAAUUUUAAUUUUGAUUUUAAAUUUCAAAUUUUAAAAAAUUCAAAUAUCAAAUUUCAAAUAUCAAAUAUCAAAUUUCAACUUUCAACUUUCUAAUUUUCAAAUUUCAAAUUUCAAAUUUCAAACUUCAAAUUUCAAAUUUCAAAAAGUUCAAAUUUCAAAUUUCAAANUUUUUGUUGCUAAAGAAAAUAAAUAUUUUAUACCAUUAUGUAUUGGUACACAUGUAUUUUUUGUGAGCGGCACGCAUCGGCAUGGCCCGGCACGUACCGUGCCGGCAAGUUUUCGGCAUGACCCCUUGCCACGGCAUUUAAAUCCUUGCUCUUUGUGUGUGUGUGUAUGUGUAGGUUUUUUGGGUUUGUACCCCCCAAUCUUUAAAUCAUGAUUGAAUUUAUUUAUUUGUUACCCCAAACUUCAACUAUGUUGGCAUAAAAAAAUCAUUCUUUUGCAAAUUACCCUGCAGAUUUUUACUACCUGAGUUUAUCUAGAUGAUCACCUUAGCUUACUGAGUUCAGUAGUUGAGUGUCUGUUUGCUAUGUGUUUGCAUUUGCAGGACUGGCAUGAUGGCUUCAGUUCAUUAGUUAACACCAUUUCCGAUAUUCAAUCUCUACUCCUGACGGUCAUGUGUGCUGCUGUGAAAAUGAUCCUCAUCAGAAGACUUUCGAGUUCUGUGACAUCCAAUCAUGCAGACCAGUUAGACAGCUGGUGCCUUGUGGAUUCAGCAAUCGCAUUUUGCAAACUUCAGCACCUCGACCCUUCUGUUUCUGUCAAAACUCAAGUAAUAUUCUUCUUUUUCAACCUUAAUUAACCUAUAAGCUGUUUUCUUUUCUUUUACAGCUAUUUUGUGAUACUAGUUUGUGUUGCAAUGUGUUGCAGGUUGACUUAAUUGCUGCGGUCCAUGAUUUGCUUGCGGAAUACGGUCUCUGCUGUGCUGGUAGAGAUGGCGAAGGGGAGGAAGGAACAUUUCUCAAAUUUGCAAUUAAGCAUCUUCUGGCCCUAGAUGUGAAACUAAAAUCACAACAUUGUAGGUUCCCGCUGAAAAGAAAAAUCAAAUGGGUGUUUUCAUGUUAUUUUGUCUACUAUAUUUAUAUAUAGUUAUAUUUGUUUACACUUAUGUAGGUACAAAUGGGAAAGAAGAAAAUACACCUCUGGACAAAAAUACUCUAGAAGAAAUCACUCUGGGUGACCUUUCUUCUAUCGAUGAGCAGGAGAAUUCUGAGGAAGAAAAUGGUAAGUUUUGUGUAUAGGGAGUUCACUUCCACUUUGAUAGCAAUAAUUAUUGCUUAUGUUGCUAAUUUUCCUCUUAAUGUAGAAAUAGAUAAGGUACAGUCAGCUAUUGAUAGUGCCCUGGACCAGUCUUUUUUCUGCUUAUAUGGGCUUAAGAUAAACCCAGAUUCAUCCAGUGAAGAUGACCUGGCAAUGCACAAAAAUACUAGUCGUGGAGACUAUCAAACCAAGGAGCAAUGUGCUGAUGUAUUUCAAUAUAUUUUGCCAUAUGCUAAGGCUCUAUCAGUGAGUAGCUAAAGCUUUUUCACACUUAACCUGAUCAUCUUAUUAUUGUAUAAUUUUAUCAUAUUACUAUGACAGCAUAUCCUGUAUUCUUUGUUUAAUUUCCAUAAUUUCCAAAGCGUAUUCUUUUUGCUCUCAGAGGGCUGGCUUGAUUAAACUUCGCAGAGUUCUUAGAGCUAUACGAAAGCAUUUUCCACAGCCACCUGAUGAUAUAUUGGCUGAGAAUGCUAUUGAUAGGUUCUUAGAUGGCCCUGAUUUGUGUGAAAAGCAGCUCUGUGAAGUAUAUGAAACUAAUGGAAGCCGGGACUCCAUCAUGAAUUUAUUAUUCACAAAUGGAAGAGGCCCUGAAACCUUCAAGAAAAGGUUUGCUUGUGCAACUCUGUUUAAUAAAUUCUAGCACUUGCAUUCAGAACCUGGAAUCUGGUAAACUAAUCAUCAGUUAAUAUUUUGACUUAUGCUUGCAGUUCUGUGCCAUACUUAGAGGUUUAUGCCAAUCUUUAUUAUUUUAUAGCCCAAGCUGAAGAUAAUAGUGCUACUGAUAAGUAUGCUGGAUUUGUUCUGAAAAAGGAAGGAGAAGAAUUUGUAGAGCAAAAUGCCAACCUAUUUAAAUAUGAUCUGUUGUAUAAUCCUCUGCGUUUUGAGAGCUGGCAGAAGCUUGCAAAUAUUUAUGAUGAGGUACGGCCUUUUUGUUUUGAGUACCAAGUUGGCACUUGUGAAGUUUCUUUUAUCGUCUUUUGAAUUUACAUAUUCUGUAAUACUGGCGAUUACAUCUAUUGCUAAUAUUUUUAUCUUUUCCAGAAAUAAUUCUAUUUCCUGCUAUGCAGGAAGUCGAUCUCUUGUUAAAUGAUGGCAGUAAGCACAUUAACAUUUUAGAUUGGAGAAAGAACACCGAUCUGCCCCAAAGAGUUGAGAUGGGUCGAAAGCAUAGUAGAAGAUGCCUAUUGAUGAGUUUAACACUAGCUAGUACUCCAAUUCAACAGGUUUCUUCUUAUAGAGCAUACUGUUAUCUUGUGAUUUUUUGCACCGGUUUAUAUGUCUAUCUAGUAAAUUCUAAUUUUUUGCUUUCUUUUUCUGUUUUGCAGGCUGAGAUACAUGAACUGUUGGCCCUAGUUUACUAUGACAGUAUUCAGAAUGUCGUACCAUUUUACGAUCAGAGAUCUCUUUUACCAGCAAAGGAUGCAACAUGGAUAGCUUUUUGUCAAAAUUCGAUGAAACACUUUGAGCAGGCUUUUGCACUUAGGUAUGCUCGCUACUAUAUUCCUUGGUUUCCUUUUCUGUUUUGGUUAUUAGAGUGUGCAAAUUUUUCCUGCACCCGGUAAAUCUGUAUAAAGCAUGCACCACACAAUGCCAACCAUCCUUCUAUCCAGUAUCUGAAUUUGACAAAGAAUUACCAUGCUGUGGCAAGGUGCCCUGUUGGUCUGUGGUUGACACAGUAUGUGCCGUGGCAUGUAUCAUCGUGAUAUUUGGCACAGAGAUGGCAGAGUCCCCACUAGCACGAUUUUGGAGCUUUUCUUGCCUAUAGUUUCAAAGCCCUUUUAAGGUGGCCCUUUUUAGGUGCUUUCAAGUUUCUAAGGCUCAUACAUCUUGACACCAGUGUCUCGUCAGGAUUUCCUCUGUAUAGCCUGUAGCCAGUGCUAGUACUCUAACAGCACAGUUUGACAUGGAUUGGUAUGGUAUCUUUGAUCUAUCUUGACCAGGCUUGUGACAGUUAUUCUCAUUUAAAAUUCAAAGUUAAUUUCAGCAAUGACUCAGACUCAGGCCACUAGAAUAAGCAAUUCGUUGCACCCAGGACAUUGGCCGAAGCCUAAGUUAUUAAUACUAAAGUGGUAACUUCUUAAAUACCGGAAAGGAAUAUCUUUUCUAUCCAAUAUGGAACUAUUGGGGUGUUACAGUGUCAUGGCAGUUGGAUAAUUGGUAUUGAAGUAUGGGAUGGGAGCCAUGGUUGGGUUGGGUGCAUGGAUUGUACAGUUACACCUGGUACCAGGGAAUAAUUUUCUCUAAUCAGAUGUUGGAUAAUUCAUUCUUUGUACUUCUGAAACUGUAGGCCAGAGUGGCUCCAUGCCUUUUUCCUUGGAAAGCUCAGUGAGAAGCUUGGUCACUCCCCUGCUAAAGCUUUUUCAUACUACAGCAAAGCUGCAGUUCUGAACCCGUCUGCUGUCGAUCCAGUUUAUAGAAUGCAUGCAUCACGAUUGAAGUUGCUUUAUACUCGAGGAAAGCAGAAUUUGGAUGCCCUGAAGGUAUGUUUAAGAUAGCGUAUCUUAUGUGUCAUUUCUUACUUUAUUUUCAAUUUUUUUUCACCAUUUGUCAAGUGUGCAUUUAAACCUAAGCAGCACAUGCACAUUUAUCUGCUGUGUUGUUAGUGGAAGAGAUGAUUGGGAAAUAGUAAGUUUAGAAAGUUCUUGUUUGAAAGAAGUCAUGAUUUGUUUGGGUCUUCUCCGUUUUACUAUUUAGCUGAUAUUUAUUCUGCGUAAUUUAAUAUUUUAUCCAUUGAUCUCAGCCACUGUAUAUCUACUUUGUAUGCUUAUUUAUAAUUAGUUCUUUGUUGAUGCUUUCUUCUACCUAUUUGAGACAAUCGCUGUUUAUGCUCAAUUCUGCAAUUCAUCGUGCUAAUAUGUAUUCUAAUUUCUCUAUUGACUAAUUUGACUUCUAUCUUUCUCUUAUUUUUCAGAUUGUUGCUGCAUAUGCCUUUAACCCGUUGACAAAGGAUGCAAUUUUAACAAUGUUUGGAUGGACGGACCAAGAUCUUCUACAUUCAACUUCUGAGGUCGAGGACAUAAAUGUUACAGAUGCUCCAAAAGAGAAAAGCAAUGUUGAUCCUGAUUUAUUGGGAAAAGCCUGGCACGUCCUUUAUGAUGACUGUCUAUUAGCCCUUGGAAUUUGUGUAGAAGGGGAGCUAAAACAUUUCCACAAGGCACGAUACAUGAUCGCACAAGGACUGUAUAAGAGGGGUGAACCAGGUGACCUGGAAAGGGCAAAAGAGGAACUUUCAUUUUGUUUCAAGUCCUCUCGAUCUUCGUUUACGGUGAAUAUGUGGGAAAUUGAUGGUACAGCGAGAAAGGGAAGGUAAAGUUUCUUCUUUGUUUCAACAGUAAAACUAUGUAGCUGUACUAAAAUCCAGUGCUGAUCAGUAGCAAUGAAUGCACUUUUUUGCUUUUUUCAGGCGGAAAAAUCCUGGUACUGGUGGAAACAGAAAAAGUCUGGAGGUCAGCUUAUCGGAGAGUUCGCGAAAAUUCAUUAGCUGCAUUCGUAAAUAUAUGCUGCUCUACUUGAACCUAUUGGAGAAGACCAGGGACUUAGUGACUCUGGAGAAGGCUUAUACAUAUCUGCGAACUGAUAAGAGGGUAUGUCUAGUAACUAGUUUAUUACAUAUAUUAAAUUGGAUUGUUCCUUUUCUGUUCUGUCGUUCUUUUCUGGAGAUGAAUAUUAAUUACUCUCUCUCUCUCUCUCUCUCUCGCGCGUGCGCAUGCGCACACAUACACACACACUAACAACUUCCUUUCUGUAACAGUUUUCUCUGUGCUUGUGGGAUAUUGUUCCGGUUGCUCUUGGAAAAUAUAUCCAACUUAUAACGGCAGCAAUUCGUAAUGCUGAGGCUCAUGGUGCUAGUUGUGAUACCAAUUCUCUCGAGCAACUCUUGGAGAAGAUGUUCACUGUCUUCAUGGAUCAUGCAAACAUGUGGUCGGAAAUAAGCACAAUACCUGAAGUCAACGAUCCAGAAUUAUCGGAGAGCAGCCUUUAUGGGUAAACAGCCUAAUCACGUUCUUAUUGCAUUAAAUUUCAAUGAUUUCUAUGUGCUCUCUCUCAUGGGGUGUCUUCUUUGUGUCAGCUUUAUCCACCAAUACAUCCACCUCUUGGAGAUUGAUGCCCGAUUAGAAACACUUGAAGGACUAAAUGAGAAAAUCAGGAAACGUUUCAAAAGCCCAAAAUUGUCUCAUAGUAACUUUGCAAAGGUAUGCAGGCACGCUUCUCUAGCAUGGUGCCGUUCAAUUCUUAUAAAGUUGGCGUCAAUUACUCCAUUACCAGAAGCUGCACAUUUGAGCGAUCAACUGGUCCCUUUGAACACUGGGCUUCAGCUCUACGUUGACUUGCAACCCGAUGAGCUUUUGGUUUCACCACAAGAAGGACCUGCUCAAUCGAAAGGUCUUGAUAUGAAUUGGUUUGAGACUCUUUGUAGGUUAAAAAAUAUCCAAAUUAGGCAAACAUCAGAAGAGAAUAUGGAGGCUGCUGUUGGUUUAAUGAGAUCUACUUACAAUUUCUAUAGGGAGUGCUCUUGUGGGACAUUUCCAUCAGGUAUCAACCUGUAUACAGUAUUGUCGCCACCAUCAGUGGCCGAAGGAGUACAACCUAGCCAAAAUGUAGUUGAUGCCCUUGACCUAAGUAUCCCGAGGAAGCUGCUUUUAUGGGUGUAUACCUUGGUGCAUGGCCGUUAUUCGAAUAUCUCAGCUGUUGUAAAGUAUUGCGAAGAGAUGAAGGUAAUUACAGGAUUACUGAUUUUCUUUUUAGGCAGAAGAAAUGGCUGUAAAUUUCUUUGUCGUCUACGUUUUAAAAUAUCUUUGAAUGCAGUUUAGAGCCAAAAGGGGGAUCCCGACCUUGUCUGCUCCAUCACAAACAACUCUGUCCACUGGUGCUUCUACUGCAGGUUGAUUCACAUUAUCCUACUGCUGCUUUGCUGUGCGUAUGUUAAUUUGGACUUACAGUUGCAGGUAAAGAAAAAGUUGAGCGCGAUGAGAACAAUGAAGCUGGGGAUAACCCCUCUCCUCUGAUGGCUUGUAAUCAGCAUCAGGAGGAGCCUGCAUGCGGUUCAAAUGAGGCUCAGAAAUCAACCAGCGUUUCCUCGCAACUCCAUAGGUGUAACUCUUCUAUGUCGGCAGAAAAUGUUCAGGACAAUAGCUAAUGGAAGCAAAAAGUACAGAGUAAUUCUUAAAAAGCUUUGUUUUUAACUCCUGGUGCUAUGCGGUGGCAUCGGCAAUUAUUUUCUUCACUCUGACAGUCCUUUGCAUAUAUCUGAAGCAAAACAGGCUAAGUGUAUAUAGAUCCCAGGCUGUGAGUAUAACAACACAUGAUAAUUUGUAGGGCUAAUCUCUUCUUUACUGAUAUAUUGGAGUUUUUGCUGGGUGGCAAUUGGAUAGCGGCAAUUGGAUAUUUAAUCCUGUAAAAAAAUUGAUUGUCUUGCGUAUGUAAAGAAUUCCAGUUGGGAAGCCGCUUUUUGACCUGGUUUCUGCGUAAAAAAAACUAUGUUAAAUGUGAAUCAACCAUCUUAUCAUGGUAUUGAGUUACACAAAUACUAUUUUAUAGGCUCUGUCACAUACUACACUUACAAUUUUGCCAAGGUCGUUAUUAUUAUUAUUAUUAUUAUUAUUAUUAUUAUUAUUAUUAUUACUAUUUUGUGUGUCAAUGUUGUUCCACCAUUAUCAAAAAAUGUAACAUCUGUGUUUCUGUCAUUUCUAGUGAUAUUGUGGUCCUUCUCAACAUUUUACAGUCCAACAAGUUUAGAUAGUGAUACGUGGCACAUAUUAUAGUGAUGUGAUGAUUUAUUAAUUAUUGUUAUGUUAUUGAUCAUAAUUAAAUUAUUAUGAUGUGAUGUUUUUUUUGUAUUAUUAAUCAUAAUUAAUAGAGUAAUGCUAUAUGUACACUUUUCAUCAUGUCUUGUCAAUUUUUUUUAAUAAUAGUAAAAUUUUAAAGAGUUUCUAAAUUCUAGAACAUGGAGUAUAAGAUGUGUACAAUUUUUUUUGGGCUUUUUUUGCAAAUAGCCCCCGAGCAAUUUUUAUUUUAAAAAUAGCCCUAUCAAAAUUAAAAUUGCAAAAAUGGUUUUGUCCCUGCCACGCAGGCGCCACGUCAGCAUCACGCGGACAGGGCUGGGGUCAGGGUAUUAAGUUGAACACGGUGAAUCAUUCACCGUGUCUAAACACGGUGAAUGGUUCACCGUGUUUAGUACGUAUUUUUUGUAUAUUAAAAAGUGGAAUAAGGAGUAGGGAUGUCAAUAGAUAUGGAUAUCCGAAAUAUUAUCCGAAUCCAAAUCCGAAUAAAUUAUNUAUAUAUAUAUAUAUAAUUUAUUCGAGUUUGAAUUCGGAUAAUAUUUCGGAUAUCCAUAUUCCUCUUUUCAAUAUGUAAAAAAUACGUACUAAACACGGUGAACCAUUCAUUGUGUUUGAAUACGGUGAAUGGUUCACCGUGUUCAACUUAACACACGGGCCCGGUUCUGCCCGCAUGGCGCUGACGUGGCGCCUGCGUGGCAGGGUCAAGGCUAUUUUUGCAAAUUAAAUUUUCACAUGGCUAUUUUUAAAAUAAAAAUUUGCCCGGGGUCUAAAUGUAAAAAAAAUCUUUUUUUUGUGAAUGUAUAAUAAGUAUUUUUCUAAUUAAUAGGAUGACAUGACUACGACAUUAGUAACGUUUAGACAUUGAAUAAAUAAAAUUUUGUUAUACUUUAGAAUUUGAAAUAUCAAAUUAAAAAAUUUACUGAUCAAAAUAGUUUUGAGAUUGAUCGGACGGCACGGCACGGAUGAAGCGGUUAGCGGGAUCACUCCCGCGCGCAGCGGUAGGCGAACUGGGCCCUUGCUCGAUGGAUCGGACCGUCUCGUCCCCGCGUAAACCCUGCAACGGCUCUUCUCCUAAUAUCUCAGUCGAAACCCUAGAAUCGCCAUGGACGCGCCCGUAGAGGAGACGAGAUCCACCAACGAAGACGACGAUCAUGACGAUGAGCGGGAGGAGGAGGAGGAGCGGGGGGAGGUGUGGGCGUGGAGCUGGGGCGCUGGCACCGAUGGCCAGCUCGGGACGGGCGCCGCGCGCGACGAGCAUCUCCCCCAACCUCUCUCCCUCAAUCCCCUCUCCUCCUCCGCCUCCUCCCACCCUCUCCGUGUCUCUCGCGUCGCGUGCGGCGGCGCCCAUGCCGUUGCCUUAACCGGUACCCGCACAAACCCUAACCCUAACGCUGCGGAUUUCGUAAUUUGCAUAUGCUCUGUGGUUGGAAACUCUCCGCGUUUUUCUUCGGAUUACUACGAAGAGCUUUGCCUGCGAUUAGAUUCUACUGUUUCACGUUUGCCGAAAAGAAUAAAAAUUGCGGUUUAUUGAUCAGAAAUUGAUUACAGUGAGUUGGAGUUUCAAGCAGUUCGGCUUGGGCUGGACUUGAUCUCUCAACGGUACGAGUUACGGAGAACUCUAAAAGCUUGUCGAAAGUUUUUGGGAUGAAGCCUACGGCUGAAAUUUCAGGAAAUUGUAAUUACUGAGGUUUCGCCAACUGUUAGUGCUGCUAUUAGGUUUGACCUUUGUUGGAUUGACGGCACUAACCAUUUAUUUCAAAAGUUCGAGUUGUUAGAAAGAUAGCAACAAUUCACUUAAAGCAUAUAGAUGCGGGUCUCGAUUGUGAUUCGGCCCAGCUUGGCCUCCCGCCACUUCGAAUAUGAUUCGGUCCAACCUGAUCUUCCGCCAUUUCCAAUGCGACUCAGGCCCAACCUGGCCUCUUACCAUAGGGUUCAAUGCUGGCCUUUUUAAGCCAACACUAUUACCCAACUCUCUACUGAAAUGUGGAACUAACUCAUACUUUAAAAUCAUCUCAAUAGUUGGAUGAUGUUGUGGACAAAGGUCCCUUCUCUGGUCGUCUGCGCAGUAUUUAUAGCCGUCAUAAUUCAAAUUCUUGUCCGACUCAUCCGAUGAACUCGAGCCCAAUCUAGAAACUGAAUUGCGAUAAUCUCGGCCGAAUCCCCGAAGAAACCGGGACCUUAAUCUCUUUCUCUGCGGAAUCUGAACAAAUCUUUUGCCAUCUCAAGUUUUACCUUCUUAGGGAUAAGGCCAAAAUGUGUGGUCAACAGUUUCUUUUCGUAAUUUGGUAUGCCACUUAGUUGGUGCUUAGUUUCACAUAAAAGAAAUUUGAAUUUAUUGGCCUAAGUUGGAAGAGUUCUUAAGGCAUGCCUGUUUGGUUUGCAUGAAAGAAAAAUGAAAAUAGUGGGGACAGAGUAGAGUGAGAGAGAGAAAGAGGAGUUUUCAGUUUUGAGUUUGCAUUUUUAAUAAAAAUUCAGAACAACAAAAAUGGGUGUUUUCUUUGAAGUUCAUAAAAGUGCGUUUCCUCAAAAAGUAUUUUACAUGAAAUUGCUAAGGUAGUGCAAUUUCAUGUAGUAUUCAUUGCAAUACGCUCGGUGAAAAUGUUGCCAUGUUGAUGAAUGCUUAUGUAUUUAUGUAGGCGAUGGUAGAGUACUCACAUGGGGAAGAGGUAUACAUGGGCAGCUUGGUCAUGGGGAGUUGGAGAAUUGCUUACAACCGAAGCCUGUACAAUUCUUCGAAAGCUUUACUGUAUGUUCUGUUUCUGCUGGAUGGAAUCACUCUGGAUUUGUUACAGGUCCCUCCACCUGGAGAGUAAUUUCCUCCUUUGACCAUUAACAGAAAUAUCAAAAUUGAAUAUGUAGUUGAUUCCUUAAAACAUAUAUUCUAGACUAAAUUCCACAAUUUUACUACCUUGAUUGGUGUUUACAUUUCUUUCUUCUUGAUGAAAAAUGAUGUUAGGUUCCUUCUUUACACAGUAAUAGUACACUUCAGGAAGCAAGAAGGAGAGACAAUUUACUCUUGUUUUAUCAAAUGCUUGGUACUUUUGGUAGACGCCUUGUUAUUCUAGUAACUGAAUUGAUUAGAACUGCAACAACGGAAAUGUAUGAAUCAUCCUCCUUGGAGUUCUAUUGUUUAGUGUCCAAAUUGGACUCAGAAAGGUCUCAGUUAUUGCUGAUAGUUACGGAAGUUCAGAACCGAUUUCAUUUGGAAAUUAUGAGCAGUAUCUAGAGAAAGGACAAAACUUCUAGAUUUGUUUUUAGGUCGCAUAGGAUUCUACUUAAAUCGAAAGAAGAGAUGUAGUUUUCAACAGAAAGCUAGCCCAAUCAAUGAUGGGUUAAAAUGAAUACUGUGUAGAGAACCUUCAACAAUUUAGCCAUGGACAAAGAAUAGAAGAACAGUAAGAAGACAGAGGAAAACAAUGACAUCAUUUUGUAGUUUGGCAUUAUUGUAGAUCUAUUUAACAGGAAAAAGUGUUCCUAUGACAUGGUCCAUGCUCGUGCCUAUUGGAUGGAGGCUGAAGAGAGCAAUUCAUCAUCCAAUGUGCUUGUACAGCGAGAAAAAAAUAUAAAACAAUACAUGUAUUUCAUUUGAAUUAUGAUAUAGUAUAAAGCUAUGUAUUUGUUUUUAGAGAAAUUAUAUCAUAUCUUGCUGUUUUUUUGCCAAUAAAAUCUCCUAAGUUUUCUGGUUUAUCCGGUUAUAGUAUGUUGUUUCUCAUGACAAACGUGUUUGGUGUUUUCAAUUCUUUCUGCUCAGAUGAAGGCCACCUGUUUAUGUGUGGAGAUAAUUCAUUUGGUCAGCUUGGGACAGGAGAUAAUCAGUCAUAUAACCUCCCUGUUGAAGUAUUAUUCUUCGCUUCAAAGCAUGUUGAACAGAUAGCAUGUGGGAUGCGACACACUCUUGCCUUGGUCACUGGUAAAAGUUAAUUUUUUAAAUCUGUUUUUAUGGUUUAUAAUUGAAGAAAUAUAGGUGUGCUUCUCAAAAAUUAAGGAAACAUAGGGGGCUUUGUAAACAUUACAUUAUUGGUAUAAUGUGGAAUUUUUAUGUCAAUUCUACAAACUUCAAUAUUUGAUCAAGUAGCAAUAGGAAUUUGCUAGUACCUAAAUGAUAUGUUUCUUGGUUUCAGGUGAUUUAGUCUAUGGGUUUGGUUCUGCUAGACAUGGGCAAAUUGGCAAUUCUGUGUCUAAGCCUCAAAAAUCAUGUAAUCUUCCUGAAGUAAUUCAAGGAUUUGGGAGCUGCAAAAUAGUGGGUCUUUUCGCCAAUGGAGAUCACAGUGCUGCAUUGACUGGUAGGUGUUUCUGGUUUUUCUCUUAUUACAGUUGUCCUCGCACUCUUGUGAACGUCACUUGGGUUAACUUUUAUUUGUAUUAUAUCAGCUAAUGGAGAGUUAUACAUCUGGGGAAGAGGAUUCAGUGGGGCUUCCAAUGACCUUCACCCUCGUCUUCUGCAUUCAUCCUUGAGGAUUUCUCAAGUUGCAUUGGGAUGGCAUCAUGCCAUAGUACUAGCUGGUAUUGUGACCUCUGAUUUACUGCGUGCGGUGCUUCUAAAUAAAGUAAUCAAUUUCUGACAUCUGAUUUGCUGCAUGUGGUGCUUCUAAAUCCUUUGGAUUAUCUCGCAGAUGGUGAAGUAUAUAUGCUUGGUGGAUACCGUCAUUGGGCAGCAAGUGGUUCCCAUGUAGUGAAUCCUGUGCGGCAUCAAUCAGUUCCAUCUGCUGCAUGUGCUGCUGUCUCAGAUGGUAAGCCUUAAUCACAAAGCUGUUGGUGCUUCUUCAAAUAGCUCUUUUGCAUAAGUUUCACACCCACGGCAAUUGAGCCCUUAGGCAAUUCAUUUCUUCUGCAUUGUAAAUUGUUUUGGUACUCUGUGGUUCUCGUUAAACUAUAAAACUAUUAGAAUAUAAAUCAUGUUUGAGUUUAUUCUUUGAACCAAAUAUUCCAGCGUAUGCUUCAUUAUUUAUUUUUUCAACUUUCAAACUCUUUCUUUAGCAUAAAUAAAAUUACUAAGGGCUUUAUUUUAUUUCUCAAACUUCCGAAGUGCGGACGCUAGAGAAGGUAUCUUGUCUUGAUGGGGAGCGAGUAGUGCAAAUUGCUGCAGGCGCUGAGCAUUCUGCCCUACUAACAGGUAUAGAAAAUCCUUUCCUAAGCCAAAAAAAAGAUAGGGAAAAAUGGUAGAAAAUCCAGAACUUGACUGACUAUGAAAAUUUUGACAGAGCGAGGAAAGAUCAUGACAUGGGGCUGGGGGGAGCAUGGCCAGCUUGGUUUGGGAAACACAGACGAUCAGACAUUUCCACAAAUAGUCAACAUACCCAACUGGAGAUCUUUUGCUUCUACUCUAGGCAUAUAUUGUGGUAGCGGUUUUACAGUUGUGACAAAAUCAGUUUAAUUAUAAAAGUUUAUGCAUUAUUAACUAUUUCAAUCUCAUGAAAAACACUUGUCUAAUUAUUCAGUCAUUUAUUUUGCUUUCAGUUUUUAGGAAUUUUGGUUGAGAGUUUGUUAAUGAAAAUGUCCUGGGAGUAUGAUUAUUAUUUUGCUCUAGAAUGCAGAAUCCAGCGUGACAAACAGUGUAGACUAUAUUUCUAAAGGUAUAGGUGUAAAUUCUAAUUCUUUCAGUGGUGUGUACCUGCGCAAAUUGUAAUUUGAAACUUCUUUUUUCUGUGCGCGUCCUACUGCUUUUCUUGAAAUACUUGUGAUUCUCUGAUGUAUGUGUCAUGUUUAUGCUACAAAGCUCAUCUUAAGAUGCUUGAUGGUUCUUUCUCCUUUUCUUUUGUUUUAGAAGAAGAUGCUUGGUGACAUUAGAACUGUUGAAGAAGACACAUCAGUCAUUAUUUCAGAAUUUUUUUUGCUAUUUGUCUACAUCAAGGUUUUGUUGAAUGUGUUAAAUAAGAGUAUUGGUGGAAUGUCAAUUCAUAUCUAAUGGCAGGAAAAUUAUUAAGCAUUUUGUAAGGAGCAUUGCUGUAUAUGUUUAUUUUUCAUUUAAAAGUUCGAAGUGGAUCUGCGCUUGGGGUAUUUCAGAUGCUAAUAAUAUUAGUUUGACAAGGCCAGAUUUAUUUUGACAUAUUUUAGAUGUUUUAAAAUCUCAAUAUAUUCAGUAUACAUAGUGACUGCAUUUUUUUUUUUUGAAUAAAAAAUCUUGCCCGUAAACAUUAAACAAUAAUUGUGAAUCUGUUCUUGCUAUAAUUUUGAAGAAUUUUCUUUUUACAAUUUUUAUUUUUUGGAUAACAAAUUAAGAAAAUAAAAAUACUAAUUUUUCAUGAAAUCUAGAAUUUUUUUAAAAAAAAUAACUUUUUUUUUUCUAAAAUUAGACUAACGAAAAUGCUUUUUUCAUCAGAAAACUAUUUUUUAGAAUAUUCUUUGAAAAACCAAACACUCCUUUAUAAGUGCAGUUGAUUUAGAAAGUUUUUUGGAGGUUUCAGAUUAAUAGGCCGCAGGCAAUUUGAAAAAAAGAAAAAUAAAAAAAGAAACACUUUAGAUACUUUAAUAUAUUGUUCUUACUAGUGAAUUACCCGCGCGAUGCUGCGGAUUUAAAAUAUUUUAAUUAAAAAUUUUAAUUAAAAUAUUUAUAUUAUUUUAAUUUUUAACUAUUAAUUAUAUAAAUUUAAAAAUAAUCUGAAUAAAAAUAAUGUAAAUUGGUUUAUGUGCUACAAAAUUUUUUAUAAGAAUUUGUAAGUAACUAAAUAAUUUUAUAAAGGAAUAUAUAUGCAAAAAAUUAUUAAAAAAUUCAUAGAAAAAAAGAUUGUUGGGAGGAGCUCUUUAGUCUUCAACUCUUCAUAAAUAGGAAAAAAAAAAAAACUUCUAUAAGGUUCACCAUUCAAGGUUCUAUAAGGUUUCACCAUUUAAACUAAAAUAUAAUUUAAUAAAUAUAAUCUAAUCAUGUAAAAAUACAUAUGUAAAAAAUAUUUGAUCAAAUUUUGUAUAAAUUUUAAUAAAUAUUUUAUUUAAUAACCACAAAUAAUGCAUAAAAAGUUUUUAAACAACUAUAAAAAUAAUACAAAUUAAUUUGGAGGGCAGUCUAUAUGCAAAAGUCUUAAUAGUUUGAGUCAGGCUCCUCACAUUUUUUUUGCCAAAAUAUUUUUGCUGAAAAUUAUAGAAACUUCCUAAACUUUAAUUUUUAACGUAAUAUAAUUUUAUCAAAAAAUUUAUAAAUUUUGGUAUAAUUCAUCUAGUAAUACUUUAGUAUUUAAAAUUUAAUUUUCUUGGUCAUCCAUUAAUGAACUGAGCAAUAAAAAUUACACACUAAAUAAAACUUGAUUGGCCUUAAUUCAAAAAAUUAUAGUUUGAGGGUUAUCUAUAAUAUGUUUAUUUAUAUUAAAGCAAAUAGAUACAUUUUGAUGCACCAAGUGUAUAAUUAAUUUUGUCUUUUAAUUUUCUGAAAAUCUGAAUAUAAAAAUUUAACUCUAGUAAUUUCUGAUAUAGAGACAUUUUAUAUAGAUAUGGUCGCAUUUAUAAAAACCUUAUAUUUAAUUUAAUAAUACUAAUAUAAAAAGUUAGAUUAUAUAUGUAAUAUUUAUAGAUCUAAUUAUAAAAAAAGUUAGCAUUCAAUCAAUAAUAAUAUUUAUAGCCUAAUUAUAAAAAGUUAAUGAUAAUAUAUGUAAUCAUUAUAUGGACCAGAAGUUUUCCUAUAAACUACGGAGUGGUAAGAGAAGAAAUCAUCGAUACGUUGGGUCUACUACUUGUAUUUAAUAUCAUACUGAUAAAAUUCCACAUAUGUCUGAGAACUUAAAGUCAUAAUAUAUUAAUACAUAAACUUAUAUAUAAAAUAUAAAUUAAUAUUAUUAAAUUAUAUUUAAUUUUAAAUUGAAAAAUAAGAUUUGAUGUAUAUUAUAUUUGUGUAGACCUCGGUACUUUCAAUUUUUUAAAAAGAGAAGAAAAAAGUGUGUAAACCGAGUGCAUGCAAUUUUUUCAAAGUGAGAGAGAAGAGCCUUAGGAGAACACUUGUCUCUAGGGGCCUUGAGGUGACAGAACUCUCCUUUAACGGAGAAGUAAAGUAAGUAUAGAUAUAGAUGUGUUAUUGAUAUUUUGCAAUUUAUAUCAUACUCCUUAAGUGCGUGCAUCAACUGAUAAAAUUCUUUCCUAUGAUAGUAAUAAAAAUAUCAGACAAUAUACAAAAUUAAUAUUAAAAAGGACCUCCAGUAAUACUAACAAAAAAAAAAAAGCCUUUAUGCAUACAAAAUCCACAGGUUUUGCAUUUUUGCUAAAAUAGAUCAUUUUAUUUUGGACUUUGUAAAUUCGAUUCGAAUUAGUAAAUUGAUCAAAAUAUUUUUUUUUUUUCUCCUCUCAUUUACUCCUGGUUUCUCUCCCUCAUUGUUGUCACAGGUUUUUUUUUUCUCUUUUUUAGUUCUCUUUCUCCUCCUGCUCUCUCUUUUCUCCUUCACCGUUCCCAUAUUGACACCGCGCUUCACUUUCUUAUUUCGCUUACACCUCUGUUGACACCGGCUAGAAGAUGGUGCAGAUCGCAAAGGUGAUGCUUUGCCGCGGAGUGCGUGACCGUGGACGGUGACGACAAUGGCAAUGAGGGUGCCGCAGGACUUGAGGACGACGGGAAGGGAGAGCGCAUAGGGGCGGGGUGGUGACAGCAGCAAAGGGUGAUGAAUGACGCGCGAUAGCGAAAAAAAUUACAAAAAGUGAAAAAAAAUAAAGAAUAAAAAAAUAAAAAAUAUAAUUUUAUUUUUCGAGAGAAAUAUUAUGUAAGGCCAAAAAGUAGAGGAGGAGAAAGAAGAAGACAAAUUUGUAUUAUUUGAGACGAAAGUUGCACUGUCUGUAACGAAAGUUAUACAUUUUAAAACUAUUUGAACCUAAGUUUACCAGAUUAGAAGUUAUUGUUUGAGAUUUAACUCAAAUAGUUUUACAUAAUGCAACUUUCGUCCCAAAAUUGCAACUUUUAUGUCAAAUAGUACAAUUUCGUUUUCUUCUUUAUUUCUUGGCAUUUUCUAUAGCAAUCACUACAUAUAAUGAUCUUACUAGAAAAUUUUUUUUUUUUUUAUUUUUUCUUCCAUGCUCUUGUAUUUUUUCUGCUAUCACGCCUCCUCCCUCACCCUUUGUUGCAGUCGCCGCCCUCUCUCCAACACGCGGUCUCUACUGGUCGUCCUCAAAUCCUGCGGCACUCUUGUUGUUGUCGCCGUCUACAGCCACGCUCUCCGUCGUAACCUCACCUUUGCGGUUUUUGCCAUAUCCAAGCCGACAUCGACGGAGACGUGGGUGAGGUAAGAAUGAGGAGUGUAGCGCCGACGUAGGGGUAGUGGAAGAGGAGGAAAAAGAAGAGAAAGCAGGAUGAGAAAGAGAGAAAGAAACGACGAGAAAGAAGCGGACAAAAACAAAAGAGAGAGAAAAAAAAGAGGAGGGAGAAAAAAUAAAAAAGAGUAUUUUGCUUAGUUUAUUAAAAAUUUAGAUCGAAUCUGUAAAAUUUAAAAUAACGACAUGUUUUUAAAGAAACUCAAAAAUGAUGAAUUUUUUAUACAAAUUGGCCUUAAAAAAAGGAAAAAAAAUAGAAAAGAAGAAGAAGAGAAAAACUGCUGUUGUUAACGGAGAUGCCACAGAUGCCCGUCCACAAGAACUGGGAUUCCCUCUUUGUUAACUGGGAUUCCCUCUUUGUUUGCAUUCCCAGUUCAAGCUACAACAGCAUAUGUUUACCAACCGCGGAUGAGACGUCCAUCUCUGCUAUCAUCAGCCCACGUGCUUGUCGCUUUUGCACUGUCACACAAUAUGAGCCUCCUUCUAGGGAAGUAGCAUACAUCUCCCAUUAUUAUAUUCUGAUAAAAAUAUACAAAAUUUAUUUUGAAUCGGCUAUCACAUCUUUCAAAAAUUUGAUUUGACUAUCCAACCUUCCGAUUUAUUUGAUUUAGAUCACUCAACGAUAUUUUGAUUUCAAAAUUUGAAUGCGCCGUUUGUUCUUUACAGAUUUAGUUAGUAUACUCUAUACAACUUUCGUAAUUAUAAAUUUAUUAAUAAGUUGAAAGGUUAGAUAGUAAAAUCAAAAUUUUAAAAGAUUAGAUAGCCGAUUCAAAAUGGUCUAUAAUUUACGUGAAUAAUGUGCAUUUUUUUCAUUAUAUUUAGGGUAUGUUUGGUUCAUGAUUGGAAUAGGAAUGGAAAAUAGAAUCGGAUUACUUUGGAAUGGAAAAUGGAAUGACGAAUCAUCCAAAAAUAUUUGGUUCAUUAUUGGAAUGGAAAUCGGAAUAAAAAUUUAAAAUUUUUGAGAGAGGGUUUUGAUUAAGAAAGAGGAAAGUGAUGAAGGGAGAGGAGAUAGAUGUUGAUGAAAGAUAAUUUUAAAUAGUUUACUUUGGAAUGAGCCAAUCCGGAAUUCAAAUCCGGAUUGGAUCAUAAAUGGAUUUGGUCAUUCUCAUUUCGGAGUGGAAUGGGAAUCGGAAUUCGAUUACUAUAAAACAAAAGACAAUUAUCGGAAUCAAUGAAUUCUAUUUCAAUUCCAUAGUCUAAAAUAGAUGAACCAAACAUAUAUGCCCUUAGGGUAAAUUAUACUUUCGGUCCUCAAACUAUGAAACAUGUGGUAUUUUGGUUCCCAAGCUUUUGGCUUGAACCUUUUAGAUUCUCACAAUUAAGAUUUACGGUGCAUACAUUUUAACUGUACACACACACAGACACACACACACACACACACACGUCCGUGAGCCUAUUCUUGUGUAUAUAUGUGUGUGUGUGUCUCUCUCUCUCUCUCUCUCUCUCACACACACACNUAUUUGAGACGAAAGUUGCACUGUCUGUAACGAAAGUUACAUAUUUUAAAACUAUUUGAACCUAAGUUUACCAGAUUAGAAGUUAUUGUUUGAGAUUUAACUCAAAUAGUUUUACAUAAUGCAACUUUCGUCCCAAAAUUGCAACUUUUAUGUCAAAUAGUGUAAUUUCGUUUUCUUGUUUUUCUUUCUUCUUUAUUUCUUGGUAUUUUCUAUCGCGGUCACAACAUAUGAUAGUCUUAUUAGAAAAUUUUUUUAAUUUUUUCUUCCAUCCUCUGUAUUUUUUUUGCUAUCACGCCCCCUCCACCCUCCGUUGCAGCUGCCGCCCCCUCUCCAACGUGCUCUCUUUACCUGUCAUCCUCAAAUUCUGCGGCACUUUUGUUAUUGUCGCCGUCCAUAAUCACUCUCUCCGUCGCAAUCUCACCUCUGCGAUUUUUGCCAUAUCCAAGCUAACGUUGACGGAGAUGUGGGCGAGGUAAUAAAGAGGAGCGCAGCGCAGACAUAGGGGUAGUGGAAGAGGAGGAAAAGGAAGAGAAAGCAGGAUGAGAAUGAGAGAAAGAAACGGCGAGAAGGAAGCGGACAAAAAUAAAAGAAAGAAAAAAAAAAGGAGGGAGAAAAAAUAACUAACAGUUUUUUGCUUAGUUUAUUUAAAAAUUUAGAUUGAAUCUGUAAAAGUCAAAAUAGUGACCUGUUUUUGAAAGGCUAAAAAACGAUGAAUUUUUUAUACAAACUGGCCUUAGAAUAACAAGAGGAAGAAGAAGAGAAAUACUGCUGUUAUUAACGGAGAUGCCACAGAUGCCCGUCCACAACAACUGGGGAUUCCCUCUUUGUUUGCAUUCCCAGGUCAGGCUACAACAGCCCACGUGCUUGUUGCUUCUGCAGUGUCACACAAUAUGAGCCUCCUACUAAGGAAUUUGCAUACUUCUCGCAUUAUUAUAUUCAGAUAAAAAUAUACAAAAUUUAUUAUAACUAUAAAGUAUUUUGAAUCGGCUAUCAAAUCUUUCAAAAAAUUAAUUUAACUAUCCAAUAAUUUGAUUUAAUUAUUUGAUUUGAGUCACUCAACGAUACUUUGACUUCAAAAUUUGAAUGCAUCGUUUAUUUUUACAGAUUUAGUUAGUAUACUCUAUGCAACUUUCGUAAUUCUAAAUUUAUUAAAGUAAAGUAAUCAAUUCAAAUUUUGAUGUCAAAGUAACGUUUAACAAUUCAAAUCAAACAAAUUGAAAGGGUAGAUAGUAAAAUUAAAAUUUAAAAAGGUUGGGCAGCCGAUUCAACAUGGUCUAUAAUUUACGUGAAUAAUGUGCAUUUUUUUUCAUUAUAUUUAGGGUAAAUUAUACUUUCGGUCCUCAAGCUAUGAAACAUGUGGUAUUUUGGUUUGCAAACUCUCAUUAGUUAUAACUUUUGACUUGAACCUUCUAGAUUGUCACAAUUAAAAUUUACGGUGUAAUUUAGUUGGCCGAAGGAUGAUGCUUUGCUAAUGUGAUAGUGAUAUGGUAUCUUAGUCAGUCUUACGUCAUCAUCACGAUUUGGUCAACUAAUUAUACCGUGGGACUUGAUUGAAAUUAUUUAGAAAAUUCAAGUCAAAAUAUUACAACAAAUUAAAAUUCAAGGAUCGAGUGUCAGGCACUUCAUAGUUUGAGGACCAAAAGUGCAAUUUAACUUUAUAUUUAAAGAAAAUGCUAGGUGCACACCCUAAAUAGGAGGUGUAGAUCUUACACCCUCCCAUUCAAGGGUUCACAAAUCCUAUAGAAUUUUUCAAUAUUAUAUCAGAAAAGAGUUUGACAAGAAUGAAAAUAAUAAUAAUAGAAAUAAUAAUAAUAGCACUGGAUGAUGUAAUGUAAAAUUUAUGCCUCUUGUGGAGUGUAUAGAUAGUAUUGCUCCUAAAUUGCUGAUUAAAAGUCAGAAGUUUACGAAUUCAGCCUCCCAACUUCUUUGGGGGAAGGAUUCUUGUAGUAGGGUCUCUGGACUUGUUCAGAACAAAUAUUUAUUUUUAGGGCUUUUUUUGCAAAUAGCCCCCUAAAAAAUUUUAUUUUCGAAAAUAGCCCUGUGUAAAAAUUAUUUGCAAAAAUGGCCCUGGCCCCGCUCCGUCAGCGCCACGUCAGCGCCAUGCGGGCGGGGCUGGGCCAAUUGUAUAAGUUGAACACGGUGAACCAUUCACCGUGUUCAAUACAANGAUAUUUUGAUUUCAAAAUUUGAAUGCGCCGUUUGUUCUUUACAGAUUUAGUUAGUAUACUCUAUACAACUUUCGUAAUUAUAAAUUUAUUAAUAAGUAAUUGAUUUAAAUUUUGAAGUCAAAGUAACGUUUAAUAACUCAAAUCAAACAAAUUGAAAGGUUAGAUAGUAAAAUCAAAAUUUUAAAAGAUUAGAUAGCCGAUUCAAAAUGGUCUAUAAUUUACGUGAAUAAUGUGCAUUUUUUUCAUUAUAUUUAGGGUAUGUUUGGUUCAUGAUUGGAAUAGGAAUGGAAAAUAGAAUCGGAUUACUUUGGAAUGGAAAAUGGAAUGACGAAUCAUCCAAAAAUAUUUGGUUCAUUAUUGGAAUGGAAAUCGGAAUAAAAAUUUAAAAUUUUUGAGAGAGGGUUUUGAUUAAGAAAGAGGAAAGUGAUGAAGGGAGAGGAGAUAGAUGUUGAUGAAAGAUAAUUUUAAAUAGUUUACUUUGGAAUGAGCCAAUCCGGAAUUCAAAUCCGGAUUGGAUCAUAAAUGGAUUUGGUCAUUCUCAUUUCGGAGUGGAAUGGGAAUCGGAAUUCGAUUACUAUAAAACAAAAGACAAUUAUCGGAAUCAAUGAAUUCUAUUUCAAUUCCAUAGUCUAAAAUAGAUGAACCAAACAUAUAUGCCCUUAGGGUAAAUUAUACUUUCGGUCCUCAAACUAUGAAACAUGUGGUAUUUUGGUUCCCAAGCUUUUGGCUUGAACCUUUUAGAUUCUCACAAUUAAGAUUUACGGUGCAUACAUUUUAACUGUACACACACACAGACACACACACACACACACACACACACGUCCGUGAGCCUAUUCUUGUGUAUAUAUGUGUGUGUGUGUGUGUGUGUGUCUCUCUCUCUCUCUCUCUCUCUCACACACACACACACACAUCAAAAUAGCUUCUUCUCAAAUGGAGGCCUCGGCUUUGACAUGGUGGUGCGCGCUUCUCCUGGGAGCAGUUCCAUUCCUUGUUCAGGUGAUUUGGUACUGGAAUGAUCUGCGAUACUUUACUUCUGCAAAGAUCAAAUCAAUGAAGAAGAAUAAUAAUAGUAGUGGUGGCAACGACGGUGGUCGCGGUGGCGAUGACAAUAGUAGUAGUAAGGGCGUCGCGGGCCGGGGUAAGCUUCCGCCGGGCCACAUGGGCUUGCCCGUCAUCGGCGAGACCCUCUCCUUGCUUUGGUACUUCAACUUUGUUCAUCGUCCGGAUGACUUCAUCAACUCUAAGAAGCAGAGGUCAGACAGCUUUUAUAUAAACCAUCGUUUUAAAGCAUAAUUAAGUCUAGUUUGGAAAUGAAUUGCCCAAAAUAUCUAAUCUAGAGCGCGAAAAUAAUAAAAAUUCUAAGGUACUCUCAAGCAUUAAUUAGCUCCAUUGGAUUGGAAGUUCUAAUCGUUAUUAUUUCACAAUAUAGGAAAAGUCAAGCUUCAAAGUGCUUAAAACUGUUGUACUAAAAAAUUGAUUCCAAAACUAGCUGGGCCUAAUCUUAGGCGCCCGGAUUAAAAUAAGAUACUUUUAAAAUUUAGAAAGGAAUAUUAAAUAUUAUCCCUUUCUUUAACUAUUCAACAAAGAGAUCGGAUCAAACCACCGGGGGGGCACUUCUUUAGAAAGUUUCAACCAUUUUUUGGAAAUUAAAUUUUUUAACUUUUGUAACGAUCCAACAACGGAUAGCAAUAUUAACUCGUUGGGCCCAAAUCACCGACCCAAAAUACUUAAAUUCAGUAUUUAUUACUAACUUGUAAGCCUCAUAUAUAUAUAUUAUAAUCAAAAUUAUUUUCACAUCCGAUAUGAAACUACUGGGGCGUUACAUUUUUGAUAUAAAAUGUGCGCGUGCAGGUAUGGAGAGGGGGCAGGGAUGUACCGAACGCACCUAUGCGGGAAGCCGACGAUCGUGGCGUGCACGCCGGCUGCCAACAAGUUCGUGCUGCAGUCGGGCGGGGAGGACUUCCGGUCAAUGUGGCCGUCGGUGGAGCUGGUGGGGCCGUCUUCCGUCAGCAACGUCGAGGGCCGUCAGCACGUUCGCAUCCGCGCAUUCGUCCUCGCUGCAGCUAACCACCCCAAAUCCCUCAGCAAGAUUGCCCGCGCCAUCCAGCCCAGCAUCGUCGCCGCCCUGCGGUCGUGGGCGGUCGCCGGCACGAUCAACGCCUCCGUCGAGACCAAGAAUGUGAGAGAAGCAUGCGGUUACAUGUUUUCAAUAUUCUCGCUGAUUAUUCACUAUUCACAUGAAAAUUUUUAACCGUUAUUUUCAAUUAAGCUAAGAUCUAAAUCCUUUCCGAUCUUGCCUAUUAUUUCAUUAUUUUAUAUUUUUUUACUGCUUUCUAAGUUAGUACACGGGCAUGCUGAUACCUCUGCACUCCAAAAUGGAUAUAGAUCUUAAUUACGCCCCUCGUUUUUCAAUAUUGGAUGUUGAAAUUAACCGUCUAAACUUUGGAUAAGUUGAGUGUAAGAUUUGCAGCAAACUUUUGAAUGUACAAAUAGCAUUUCUCAAACUUCAAAUCCAUAGGGCUUCUUUUAUGCAGGAAGUAGUCUAUAAUUAAGGACAAAAAACCAACAUAAACAACUUAGCUAGCGGCUGAAAAUUAUCUAAUCUAAUCACUUGUUUGACAUGCCUGGAUUUGAUGAUGAAAACACGAGUAAGGGUAUAUAAGGAUUUACCACUCUCGGCUAUUUUGUUGUAUAUAGUUGCAAUUACAAUGCAAUUGUAUUUAUAUGUAGAGAUUUAAAUCCGAUGUUUAGUUUGAUACAUUUGAAUCUAAGUGUUGUAGUUGAAACUGUAUGAAAAAAUCCAACUGCAGCAGUUAAAACUAUAUUCAAAUUGGCCGCAGGUUGAAUUGUAAUAAUUGCAAAGAGUAAUUUUAAACAAAAGAUAAGCUUAUCCUGCUUAUUACUUUUUUAUUUUUUUAUUUUUAUUUUACAUUGAUGGCAAUCUAACCACCACCACUGAUACCACAUAUAUAAAAUGAUAAAAUUUUAAAAUACACUUCUUAACUGCACGCAAUCAAACAAAUUAUUUAUAAUUGCAAUAUUUUUUAUUAUAUCUAAUCAAACAAGAGGAAUAUAACUGUAACUGCAUGGCACGCAGUUUGAGCCAAACGAGUUAUAUAUUAGUACUAGUGUGCUGAAUCGUUACAGCUCCAAUAUAUAAUUGUGCUACUAUCUUAUAACAAAAUUUUUCAGGUAAUAUUUAAGAACAUAUGCAAGAUGUUUGUUAGUAUGGAUCCAUCGCCCGUCACCGAAGAGAUAGAUCGGUGCUUUGAAGGCUUUGCUGCAGGGUUCAGAUCAGUGCCCAUCAACUUUCCAGGCACUACAUUUCAUCACGCUCUUCAGGUAGAAAAAUUCACAACCAAUGUACAAGCGCAUGGGGUUUAAUUUAUUCUUAAUUUCCAUUCAAAUUCUUCUUUUUUUGAUAGAAUCUACAUACUACGAGAAUAUAUACAAUUAUGCCUUCCACUGUAGGGAUAAUAUGUACGUAAUAUGUCUUUCAAAAUUUUAAAAAUAUUUUAUAUAUUUCCGAAGGAUCAAAAUUAAUAUUCUUAUUGAUUUUAAAAAAUUUCUUCAAAUAUCUCCAUUUCUGGGUUUAAAAAGAUAUUUUGAUAAUUUCUAGGUAAAUUUAAAAAUUUUGAAUAGUAACGAAGAAUAAAUAAGCAAAAGCCUCUAAUUUUUAAAUCGGAGUUUUUUGAACUACAAUAUAACGUGCAUAAAAUCAGAAUACACAUACCGUUGAGCACUAAAUAGGCUCAGAAAAUUCACGAGUAAUGGUACAUGUCCUCCCAAUCCCAACAAAUAUGGUAGAGAUAUCUAAAAACUACUCUCACUUAGAAUUAAACAGAAAUGUUAUCCAUAUAUAUUUAUUAAUGGAUAGUAAUUUUAUGGACUAUAUAUGGUGGAAAAGCUUUUAGUUUUCCCAACUAAUCCCAAAUAUUUAAGCGGUGAUAACUUCUAAACCUAUAUAUAGAGAAAGAGACGGAGAGAGAGACAGAGAGAGCUAAGUUGGAAUACUAUUGAUAGUAAAAGAUCCUUUUUGUUAUCAAGUUUUUAAUCCUUGGAUGAGAAAUUGUAGGAUUAUGAUGAUAUUAGUCCCUUAGAUAUGAGUGGUUCCUCUAAGGUUGAGUGGUCUUUACUGGAUUAUAAUAUUUAAUCCAAUGGUUAGAAAUGAUGAAAAAAAUUGAUCCAAAAACUAAAAACUUUUUUUUGUUUUUUAAAAAUAGAUAGCAUGCUACCCGUUUCGUUUAUCUCAUUUAGAAAUAAACUUAGCUAGAAAUGUGAAUCAACUAAGAUUCGAACUUAGGUCUCGGGUACCAACCACCAAGCCCUUUGCUACUUGCUCUAGGGACAGUCGGUUUCCAAAAACUAGAAACUUGAUAGCAAAAAAGUCUUUUUGUUAUCUAUAGUAUUCUAGCCCAACUCUCUCUCUCUCUCUCUAUAUAUAUGUAGAGUAGGGCUACUGUGCUAUUAGGAGCACAAUAACCCUUGUGCUUCUAACUUUCUAACCACCCAUCAAGUUUGAUGGAUGGUUAGAAUGAGAGAGGGAGAAUAUAUUGAAGAGAAAUUCAAGGAGAAGAAAAAUUGAGACACCCAAUUUCUCCCCAAUAUCUCCUCCCUCUUUUAUUUAACUUGAUGGAUGGUUAGAAAGUUAGUAGCACAAGGGCUGCUGUGCUCCUAAUAGCACAAUAGUCCUGCUCUCUCUCUCUCUCUCUCUCUCUAUAUAUAUAUAUAUAUUUCUCACUAAAAAAGUGUGCUUAUUAUUACUUCACAUGGUGUAUUGGUGUCACAUUUUCUGAGUACAUGCACGCUGCAGAAGCAAACCUUUCUUUUCUUACUUAAUUAGUCUUAAAAUCAUACCAAAAUGUUGCAACCAAAGAGAAUUGGAAAGGCAAAAAAUUAGGAACAAAUAUAUGGCAAUUGGAACAAGUGAAGAGAAUACAAACGGCUCCAACCCGAGCAGUACUCUAUUUUUUCCGAUACAUAGAAACUGUAAAUUUGAGUUUUCUACACGUCGAAGAUCGCAGAAGACAAAAACAAAAAAAAUAUAAAGCUCAUAAUAAUAAUCUCAAAUAACUCUAAAACUGAGAUCAAUCAAUUUCACCAAAAGAGUAUUAAAACACAAUACAAAAGGAAACAAAAAACCACCAAAUAAAAAAUUCAACCAAAACCAAUGAAUGUUAACAAGACAAGGAAAAAUGUAGAUUAAAGGUUAUCCAUCUCAAACCUAACAAAAUUCUACAUAAGGAAAUGAAGAAGGAGAAGAAGCUAUUUUCCUCGCUCACACUCCUACCUGACUCUUUUAUUCUUCUAACCCCUAACUAAACUCAUAUGAUCCAACUUAAUUGACUCACUUAAUCCAAAAUAAGUCGCAUGACUUAACUUGACUCAAAAGAACAUAAAAGUACUCAUUUAAAAGAUCAAAUGAGCUUCUACGAAUUUAUUUAUUAAUUCUUGUAAACAAGAAUUAAAGAAAAAAACAAAAAAAAAAAGUUUAGCACUAACUUUUAACUACAAGAAGAAGGCCUCUUAUACCGAUUUUGUGGCAGUGUCGACGAAAAUUGUCAGCAAUAUUUAGAGAAGAACUCGCAAAGAGGAAGGAAAAGAAGCAUGGAGUCGAAGAAGCCGGUGAUCUAAUGAAUGGCUUGAUGCAAGUGGAGGACGACGAAGGGAAGCAAAUGAGCGACGACGAAGUCAUAGACAACACCAUUACCCUCGUCCUCGCGGGGUACAAAUCGACUUCACUUGCUAUAAUGUGGGCUCUCUAUCACUUGUCGAAAACCCCGGAUGUUCUUCAUAAGCUACGGGUAAUUUAUCUAAACAUUGUACUAGAAAAACUAGUUCUACUUGAUCAAUAGCCUUGUACUAUGCAUAUUGGUUUCUCUUUUUAAGCUAAAAACAAAUGUAGGAAGAGAACAUCUUGCUAAGAAAAGAGAAGAAAGGGGAGUUCCUCACAUUGGAUGAUACAUAUCAAUUGAAGUACACAUCUAAGGUAUAUAUAUAGUGUCAUGUGUAAAUUUUCUCACUAGCUUAGCUUAUUAUUUCAUGAGCAUGUAACUACAACGAGUUAUUUCAUCGAUUUUUUGCCCUUAUGGAUCUGUAGGUUGUGGAAGAAACACUUAGGUUAGGGAACAUAACUAUGUCGGUUCCUCGAGUCGCCAACCGAGACAUCGAGUAUCAAGGUAUGUAACAUAAAGUUUCUUUCCUUUUUUUUUGAUUGGUUCUAAAUACAUGUAGUAAAUCAAUAGUAGAUAAGUGAAUUGUACAAGAAUACAGGCUAUAGAAUACCUAAAGGAUGGCAAGUUCUUGUUUGGAUCCGAUCGCUGCACACGGAUGCGAAGAACUUCGACGAUCCACUGAGCUUCAACCCCGAUAGAUGGGACGUAAGUUUACGAGACUUCGAAAGCCUAAUUCUACUUCAGCUAGUUACGUACUUUUCGUAUAUAGUGAUCAGUUGGAUUCUUUCGUGUAGAAACCGGCGAAACCUGGCACGUUCCAAGCGUUCGGAGGGGGCCGGAGGAUUUGCGCGGGAAACAUGCUUGCGCGAUUAAAUCUUACAAUCAUCCUGCAUCACCUCUCUGUUGGUUAUAAGUAAAUGAUCCGCGCAAACUUUUAUCUCCCUACAUUGUUUUUAAGUUAUGAAAUUCGUAGUUAAAGCUAAUUGUGUGAUUGCUUAGGUGGGAAUUGCUCAAUCCAAAUGCAAAGAUAUCACACUUCCCUCAUCCAAGGCCUGUAGAUGGGGCUGCAAUGAAAUUUAGUACACUUUGAAGCUACAUAAAGGACUGAAGUGGAUCAAAUGUUAUUGGGCUCUGAUUUAGUUCCUAGAAGCUGUUAUGUAGCAUAAAUGCGAGAUAUUAACUGUGAGCAAAUAAGUUGGUGUUGAUUUGGGUAAUAUCAAUAUCUCAAAUUGAAAGAGUGUUUGCCUUAAUUUGGUGAAACUACAAUGGCCUCUGUUUGGAUUGUAAAAUUUUCCACACCUAUUUUCGUGAGCAAAUCAUAGCUGGACAUUAACUACUCUUUUUUUUGUUUACGUCUUGAACAAGAAUUUUGAUGAAAAUGGUACCUCACCUGUGAAUGUUUAAUAUUGUAAUAGUUAGGUUUACAUUCCCGCUCUUGUGAUAUGCUCUCGUGCAAAACUGUAUGGUAUUAUUUUUUCUAUAUAAAAUUUAAUGUACUUAUUUAGUGGAGUCUUGGUUGACGGACAGGAAAAGCUUUGUCCGUUCGGCGAUCUGUGCAUGCGCCUAGACUGACCAAAUCGGCGGUCGCGCUGCGUGACAUCACCCAUAGACAACAGAUAAAAGCAAGGUUAAAUUUGAUGGAAUGCACCAGCUAAGCGCCUACAUGACUAUUUUGGAUGGUUAUCGAAUAAAGUCUCUUGUCUCGAUGAAGAGCGAGUAGUGCAAAUUGCAUUUUGGAUGGUUAGGAUGAGAGAGAGAAGAGGAAUCAGUGAAAAUUUGGGUGUCUCCAUUGGACACCUGGGCCGAGUGCGUGUUCAUGCGUGUUUCCAUUGGACACGAGUCUGACACGAACACGUGAGAUUUAUAAAAAUAUCUCCAGUAUAUGAUUCUAAAGAUAUAGAUUUGAAUUAUAAUUUUUGCGUGGUGUGUACCUCUCCAAAUCUUCUUUUGAAAAAUAAAUAGUAAACUACCUGUUUUAUUUAUUAGAAAAAUAAAUUAGGCAUACAUAAUGGAGACAGCGAGGUCCUCCCAAGUACCUCUCCAAAUCUUUAAUUUAAAAUUUCUGUUUUCUGUGUGCAUUCCAGCUGUGUCAAUUAUUAUUGUACUGCUACUUUUUGAAAUACAUGCGAAUCUUUAAUGCUUGUCUUGUGUCAUGUUUAUGGCUUUAUGCUACAGCCUACAAAAAGCUCACCUAGAGUCUAGAGAUGCUUGGUGUUUGUUUCUUUUCUUUUUCUUUUUGUAUUUAUUUUUGUUUCUAUUUUUGCUUUUUGUUAUAGAAGUAUAUGCUUGGUAAGGUUUAGGGAUGUCAAUAGUAAUGAAUACUCGAAAGUUUAUCCGAAUUCGAAUUCAAAUAAAACGGAUAUAUCCGAUACUAAAUGGAUAUAGAUUCGGAUAUGGAUAUCAAAAAUAGAAAUCCGACGAAUAUGAAUUCGGAUAUGAAUUUUGACUCUACCCGAACCGAACCCGAAUCCGAACCCGAAUUUAUUUUAUAUUAUAUAAAAUAUAGAGUGCUGCUGGUAUGCUUCUGGAAGCACGGAGCGCUCCGUGCUUCCAAGUCGUUUCGAUGUUGGGACUUUCAAAUCGACUAUCAGCUCCGUUAGACUUGAUUUAGAGUAUUUUAAGUAUCUAGAAAAUAAAUUUUGCGAUUUCUUGAUAUCUUUUGCUUAAUGAUCGAAGUGGCUCAAAAAUAACGGCUGAAAAUAAAAAUAUUACAAAAUAUGAUGAUAUGACAUUAAAAUUUUAGAUAAAAAAUAUUGAUCUUGUUUUAUAUAGUAUAAAGAAUUUUCUAUCAAAAUUUUACAUGAUUUGAAUAUUCCUAUACCGUUAAACUUGUAAAUAGCUCAUCACGGCCAUUAAAAUUAUUGAUUUGAGCUCCUUCGAUUACUGGGCAAAUGAUAUCAAAAAAUUACAAAAUUUAUUUUUUAAAUACUUCAAAUACUCUAGAUUAAGUUUAACGGAGCCGAUCGUCAAUUUGAAAAUCCCGAAAACGACUUGGAAGCACGGAAGGCUUCAUACUUUCAGAAGCAUAUAUAUAUAUAUAUAGAGUCCGACUGCCAUGCUAUUGAUAGCACUAAGCACUUGGUGCUAUCAAGUUUUCUGCCGUUAAAUUAACCCCUUUGAUUAUUUUUAUCCGUUAGAUUAUACUAUUAAACCAACCACCCACUCAACCCUAAGGGGCCCACAUCAUCCUAACCGCACAUCUUUUAAUCUAAGGGCAGAAAACUUAAUAGCACCAAGUCAUUGGUACUAUUAAUAGUAUUCCAGCCUAUAUAUAUAUAUAUAUAUAUAUAUAUAUAUAUAUAUAUAUAUAUAUAAAAGAGGGGGAAAGAGAGGUCCAUGGACCUGUCUUAUGCGGUCCACGAGGUGGAGCGGACCUUGUGGAUCAUGUGCUUUCUUCCUCCGUGCGGCAUGCCCAAUGCCGCGCGUUUUCGUUUUCUCUCGAAUCGAGCGGAAAAUAAAAACCUCUAUUUUUCUUAGAAUCUGUAAAAAAAAAAAAAUUUCUGAAUUUUUUUUUAACGAGCCACAAAACACGAAAAUCUCAUUUUUCAACAAAAAAAAAAAAAUUUAAGAUAAUUUUACGAUGAACAAAACACGUCCUUACCUAUUAUUUCUAUAGUAUUUUGGAGUAUAUAUUUUUAAUAACUUUAUUGAGCUCGUUAAAAAAACCCAUUUGAGGAAUAAUUUCAAUUAUAUAAAAUAAAGUCUUCAUAUUAAAUAAAUCUUGUAUAAUUUUACGAUGAACAAAACACGUCCUUACCUAUUAUUUCUAUAGUAUUUUGGAGUAUAUAUUUUUAAUAACUUUAUUGAGCUCGUGCAUAAAACCCAUUUGAGGAAUAAUUUCAAUUAUAUAAAAUAAAGUCUUCAUAUUAAAUAAAUCUUUAUAUUCAAUAGACAUCCAAAUAGAAUCAUUUAGUUAAAGGUAGAGUUUAUCCAAAUUAUACAUGGAUUAUAUUUAAAAUUUAUGUAAUUAGAGCAAGAUUUAUAAUUAUUCAAAAUAAAAGUUGAAUUUGCUCUUUGUUAUGACUUCAUGAUUAUAUACAGUUAGGUAUGAAUUAAUUAGGUGAAUAACUACGAUAGAUAUGGCAGCAUAAAAUCGAGGGUGUCGCAACUAGAGAUUUUUUAUUAAUAAAGUAUUAGUUUAGUUAUUUUCUUUCUUCUUUAAUAUUUUUUUUUAAAAUUACAUAAUUUAUAUCAGUACAAAUAUUGAUUCUAAUAAUUAUAUUAAAAAAAACUUACGCUUCCACACGAUCGAUGCCAACAUAACAGAUCCCCAAGAACUUAUAAUAGGCUCGUUACGCAUGCAAGAUUAACAUUUGCGUUGCCACCGACCGUCCCUAGAGCAAGUGAUAAAAAGCUUGAUGGUUGGUAUUCGAGACCCAAGUUCGAAUCUUAGAUGAUUCACAUUUCAAGCUAAGUUUAUUUCUAAAUGAAAUAGACGAAAUGGGUAGACCAAUCUCUCUCAAAAAAAAAAAAAAAAAGCCAGAGAUGCAAAUAGAAAUAUGUAUAAUUUUUUUUGAUAUAAUCGCAGGUAUAUAAUAUAUCAUAACCGANUUUUUUUUUUUUUUUUUUUUUUUUAUCGUCAAAUUACUAAACCGGUGUAUGAUAUGUACGGAUAAACCCGGUGCACGUAAUGUUUCUCAUGCUGUCGUGCAGUCCGUGUUAUCCAAAUCCACGCCACGUAGUCUCUAUCCCAUUACGUCACCUCAACAGUCAACACCCCCCGACCCGGCCAAAAAAAAUAAAAUAAAAUAAAAUAAAAUAAAAAGAAAAACCCCUUCCCUUUCGUAAAACUUAAAAAAACUCCCGCAUUUCCUCCGCCGCAGAGUGCGCCUGUGGCUCUCUCCUUCGUUUGAUUCUUGCGUCGAGCUCUGCUGCGAAGGAGAAGGAAAAGGGCGGGCGAGGUCGAGAUGCGGGAGAAUGGCUUACGCCACGGUCUCGUCUCCCGCUCUCUUCCCCUUCUUCGUCCGCCGCAGCCCUAACCCUACUACCCCCCUCUCCCCCUCCCCCUUCGCUCUCCCGAGGAGAGCUCGCCCUCUCCUCCCCCCUCUCCGUCCGCCAUUAGAGCACAAGAGGGGCCCCCGCGCCCUAGGGUUCGCCGUCUCCGCGGCGAGGGGGAGGAGGGCGAGGGCCGCGGAGGAUGCGUUCGGGGAUUUGGAGGCGGAGAUCUACGAGUUCAUGCGGCGGUCGCCGAAGCCCAACGAUUUCCCCACCCGCGCGGAGCUGGUCGCCUCGGGGCGCGCGGAUCUCGCCGACGCCGUCGCCGCGCAGGGGGGGUGGCUCGCCCUCGGGUGGGACGUCGACGAGGGGGCGAAGGAGACCAAUGGCGGUGCGAGUGCGAGUUCCGCGUCGGGCGAGCCGGAGAAAGGGCUCUCUCGAGAUGAUUCUAGGGUUUUGCAGCAGCGGCUUUCGUGUAGUAGUUCGGAUUUUUCGGAGGCUUCCUCUUCUGGGAGAUCACUGUGAGCUGCGAUCCUCGUAACCAUUUCGAUUGUUUUAGUGCUCUUCUUUCGGUUCUUUUUAAGUUAUGUUUUCUUGCAUUGUUUGAUAUCUGAAGGGAAAGGGAGGAGGAUGCCGAGGAUAGCGGGAUUGAGGGGAUACUGAGUAGAUUGGAGAAAGAGAGGAACUGGUCGUAUGCUGUGAGUUCUGAAGGGAGAGGAAGGAACGGUCGAACCUUGCGGAGUCAUGGGGUUCUUGAUCCGGGAGACACAGGUGGAUUUUCUUUCUUGAGCUGAGAUCGAGCGUUUCUAUAUAUGUCAUGAUUGCCAAUUUUAUGUCUAUCAACUCGGCAUCAUAUUAUAUUAGUUGCGACGAAGAGAUGAACCAAUGUAUGUUCCAUUCAGAAUGUGUUGCCACCAAACCUAACUUUUAAUAGUAAUUGAAAAGGCAUGCCUUCAGCCAGUGUCUUGCCGUGAGGCAAAGGUUCGCGCCUCACUGCACCCUAUGUGCAACUUUGCGACUGGUGCGCGCUUUGUGAUAUGUUCAGUUUAAAUGUUCUCCAGUCUCUUAGGUAGAAUAUCUGUUCAUGUGAUGCCUUUCCUUUUCUAUGGAAGCUGCUAUUUCGCUGCUUAGACACCUUUUAUGUUUAAGUGUCCAUGCACUGUUACUUUGUAAGUGUACAAAAAUAUUUAGUAUUUCUCUCAAAAAAAAAAAAAAAAAUUUAGUAUUCACAUUUGCUAAUUCAGUCUCCUUUUCUUCCGGAUGUGCUUUCUUGUAAAUGAUCACUGUGAUAAUUUAUUGUCCCAGUACUCAUAUGUCAUAGCUCGUAGUCAAAUUGUUACUAUAUUUAAGAGUGUCUUAUUUUGCUUAAUUUUUUUUGAAUAUUGACCCUAACUUAUUGAGGCAAAUGCCUUUUGAGUGUGCCUCAUGCCUUGGCUCUAGGAGCCCCUUGGGCCUCUUCGCAUCUUGUUCGUUAAAAAAACUUAGGUGCCCGAUGCUGACUGUGUAACAACAAGAAAUAGGCUGAAAGUUCAGAUAGUUUGCCUGCUACAUCUUUUAUAUUUCAAACUAAAAAUCUGCAAUUUUCUACAGUUUUAAUAUGAUUAAAUUAGUUUGACAAGUACUUAUGGUGUUUCACUGGUUCAACCAAAACAUAAAAAACUUGAAGUAAGCUCAUCCCUUCCCUAAUCUGACACCAUUGUCAUUAUAUAGUGAACUCCAAUAGUGUUUUAAUAACAAUGUAUGAUCCACAAAAUCAGGUUUGAUUUAACGUGUUGAAGUGCUAUGAAAGGUCACUAAUCUAUAUGUGAUAUCUAAGCAAAGCAUAUGUUAGUGUAGUUAUGUGGAUGUGGGAGCAUAGCAUCCCUUAACGCCAUAUCGUAGGCUUGGACAUAUCUCGCUAGAGGUAUACUUGGUGUCUGAGAACACAUGUACAAAGACACUACAAUAACAUGCUAUAACAAUCUUCAUUUUAAGCCACUUUCAAAUUUUCAAUAGUUGUAACUGUGAAUAGGUAAAUUUACUCCACUCAAAGAAGUGUUUUAAGAGAUGUUAAAACUGGCAGUUUCAGCGGAUCUAACGAAUAUUGUUCUUUUUUCAUAAAAGCAAUAAUAUUCAACAUUAACAGGCAUUAAUCUCUUUCUCUCACAUACUGUGUGGAUGGUAAUUGACUCAGAUACCUAUAUAUGAUUACCUUUUAUUCUUGCUAAUAUGGUUGUGUAUCAUAUUUUCAUAUUCUUUAUUGAAAAUCUAUACUUGUAGUUUUUUAUCUUUUUUCCUGUAAUAUUAACUUACGAUCUUCUGGCAAGCUUAAUUGGCAUACAAUAAAGUUAAUACGACUGAUUUUGUGAACUUAGAUAAUUUGACACAAUCAGGUUUAUUCCGCAUGACAUUAUUCUAAGAGGCGGUGUGCCCACCUGCGUAUGCUGAUGAGGUUUUGUGACAACCCUACACAGAUUACAAUUUGCAUGUCGUGUAACUACUGCAUGAUGAGCACGUAGGAAGAUCGUGUAUUGUCAGUCACUAUAAGCAAAUAAGUAGGUUUAUAGCAUGGUAUGACCUCUUCAAUAAAAAAAAACUUGCUGUAUAGGGCUUUGUUAAUAAUUUUGAUUAUAGACUACUUUGUACUUACAAUUUUUUUUCUUAAUAUAAAACUUGCUAUGUAGGGCUUUGUUAAUAAUUUUGAUUAUAGACUACUUUGUACAUACAAUUUUUUUCUUAAGAAAAUCUAAUUGAAUCUUAGAUAUGUAUAUUUAAAAUGUCCUGGAAUUUAGUUCGAUUGUCAGAAAUUCUAUAUCUUAGUUAUUUUUCUUGAUUCUUUGAUAUUUUUUAUUUAUCAUAUGUUUUCAUAUAUUCUUAUAUUUGUUAUAUCUUAUGCAUCUUAACUGAACACCCGCCUAUAGCAUAUUUACCAUGCGGUACCUUGUCUGUAUGCAAAAUGUUCAGCUGCAUAGUCACUACAUGGCAUACUUGUUUAAGGUUUUUCAUUCUAGUGUUUAGUUAUAACUUAGGAUGAAACCAAAGAUGGUUUGAAAAUCUGGUUUCCCACAUUUGAAUUUCUUAUUCCACAUUUGGGUAACAGUCGUCACUUAUCACUUGGUAUUGAGUAAUAGUUGCUUAUACGCAGGCACACUUUUUAUUGUGCAUUCAAAAUUUCUGAGAGUGCUCUUUGCUAGAUUUUUAUACAUUUUUUUUGUGGAUUGGCUGCUCGUUUUCUUUCCAAUCUCUAGUAUUCUAUUUCCUUAACUGAACAGACGCUGUACUAUUGAAGAUGCAGUUUUAAUCAACGACAAAAUCACAGUUGAUAGAAGUGAGAUAGGAAGUAAUGGUAUAUUACGAGAUUUUGAAAAGAAACUUUUGUAUGAUUAUGGGGGUACUCAUUCGCAAUAUGGAACACUAACAGAUGUCAAUAACACGAGAAAUUUAACUUCUAGCAUGUGGAGAAAAUGGAGCACACGAAGGGCAGGAUUUCCUGAUACUGACUUUCAAGGUUGUCUUUUUCUCAUUUGGUGCCAUUGCAAUGUAGAAAUUUUAGAUAUUCAUACUAUGCCAACUCUCUUGUGCAGCUGCUGAAAUUGUUCCAAAUGGUGACAGAAAGAUUGUUGAAAAUGGUUCGCUAAGUGAUGUUUCACUUGAUGGCGAGAUGCAUCGACCAAGCAAGAGUGUGGUUGGAAUUGGUAAGGCAAGCAGUAAUUUGUACUCUGAGCAAAAUCAGAUACGUAUGCGUCUUCAGCAUUUGGAAUCAGAUCUUACCUCGGCACUUCAAUCAUUAAGAUCGAAAGCUAAUAGUCUUCUAUCACAUGAGGUGUGUCAUCAUUAAUAAUUUGAUUUAUUCUGGAGCCUAAUGCUCUUUGACUUCCUGACCUGUAUCUAUCAGCAAAAUAUUUUAGGAGUAAUUUAGCUGUUAAUAUACAUUUUUCAUAUGGAGAUGUUUACCAUAAGUUUUAUAGUUCGGCUUUCUUUUUUUGUUUCCCAAAUUUUGUCCUUGUCUUAGGUGAUGUUAAGAUUCUACAUGUUUCUAUAUCAGGUAAACUUGGAAAAUACUCAGUAGGUUUAGCUGUGAAGUUGUUAAUUUUGGCUUUUUUGAUUUUCAGGGCAAAGAAAAUUCGUUGGACGAGCUGCAUAGGCUCUCCGAUGCUUGGGAGUUCCAAGAGACUGAGAUAAUGCAUGCUCGAGAUCAGCUACGGUCUAUUCGUGCCAAAUUGGCAGUACUUGAAGGAAAAAUGGCACUUCAGAUGAUGUAUGCAUUACUUGACAUUGAUCUUUCUUCCCACGCUACUUAAAUUUAGUAGCAUUAGCAGCAUGUUGUGUUUUGGACAGUGAAGCACAAAAGGUGAUAGAAGAGAGGCAGAAGAAGCUUGAUGCUGCUCAGAAGGCUUUACACUUUCUUCGUACAGCUUGCAUUGUGUGGCCUAAUCCUGCCUCGGAGGUUUUUUUGGCUGGAUCUUUUGAUGGAUGGACAAGUCAGGUUUGUAUUUGGGAUCUUAAUUUCACUCAAAGAAGAUAUUUACUGAUUAGCUUUCGUAUUUGGUCUGCUGUUGCUAUCUGUAUUUAGUCAGUUCCUUUUUUGUAUCUUGUACCGUUAUAAGACUUCUUGCAAUUAUGUUAGAGCUUGAAUUUGAACCUGCUAACCGAACAGGUGCUUUGUUUGAUUAUUGUUGAAGGCUGUUAAUUUUCAGUUAAGAGUCGGAAAAAUCUCAAUAGGAAAAGUGAGCUUGGGUUGAACUGUAGGUGUCUGCUGCGGCUCAAUUCUUAUUCUUGGAACCAUAUGGUUCAGGCUCAAAAUCUUGGAAAAUGAGAACACCCUUGUGAGCCUGACAUAGCCAUCUUAUCACUGAGCCUGUCAUUCUGAUGUUCCAGGCAUUAGAAGAAACCACUUCCAAAGUGGUUUACUUUAACAAACAAUUCAAGAUUAAAGUCCUCGGAGCACUUCUUUUGAAUGCUCUAUCUUGCCACUUUAGAUCAGAGCUGGGAUGAAGUAAUUAACUCCAACUAGUAACUCAAGAUUUGGGUCUCUCAAGCAGCGUCUUGUGUUCUAAUAUUCUGCUUGCCUGUUUAGAAUCACAGCUGCGAUGAAUCUAACUGUCCAGGAAUUUCCUUUUAAUUCCCACUUUUAGCAUCCAAAAAUAAUCUGAAAAUUCUUAAAGACUUCAUAUAGUUCACAUCUGUCCAUUAUAUAAGUUGAUUCUGAAUGUCAUAAUGGAAUUUGUACUUCUUGCCAAAUUAGACCAAGUCAUGUAACAAAUAAGCAUAUUAGCAGUCCUAGUUUUAGUUUGGAUAUUAGUAGAUUAGAUCAAAAUUUAGUUAUCCAACAAUAAGGGUGUCAAAGCUUGAGGAUAGCCAGCAGCCACCUAUUUUUUGUACUAACGAGGGGUUGCUGAUUUGUUGAUGCUAAUUACUAACACCUAAAGACAAGUAUUCACAAUCAAUCCACUUGUGGAAUGGCAUUACAUUUGAGCACUGCAUUUGAGCAGUCAGUUUAUGUGGAUCAUGGAUACAAAGUUCUCCAAGUGAAAUGCAUGUUAGGCUAUAGAGGAAGGAAAUUCCAUAGGUUUAUCCAUUCAACAUUUUUGGGACUACAGGAUUAUGAUAACUUUGCAAUCAUGGAGAAGAUAUAUCCAUGUGCAAUUAUUGGGGUUAUGGUGCCCCACCUGAAUUUGGUGAGCCUUUAGUUUGUGAAGAAGAUAAAUACUCUCCAUAUUUGCCCAAUGCCCAUGCUUGAAAGCAUACCAUGUCUCCUGUCUCCUGUAUAGUGGCGUCCCAAACUGGUCGCUUUAUGCUUACGAGUGCAACUGUGAUACCUUAUCUAGUUAGGCUCAUGAUGCAUUAUUGGAUUCCUUUUUGCAAAGUCAAUGCACUUUGUAUAUUUAUAUCGCCAAAUUAUUAGNCCCCCUCUAUUCUCUCUGUGUCCCCUACAGCACCAGAAAGUGAUGUGCAGAGUUUUAUUUCGGAGUGGUUAAUUUAUUCAUAUGAAGCGAAUGAGUGAAAAAUUCGGCUCUUAUGGAACAUCGAAAAUAUCAGUGAAGAAUAGGUUGGCAAGAAAUUCUAAAUCAAUAGACCGUCCUCAAUCAACAUUUCUUCUUACCACAAGCACAAGGCUAAAUCCGACAUGUUGGACCUGUUAACUAAAUCAUUUUGUCCUCAAUCAAACUUUCUCCAUAUUCUUCCUUUUGUAAAACGAUACAAAGAUCAUCCCAGUUUCUACUAUGUUUCAUUCUAUAUAAUUUAAGAAUUAAGAAUCAUGUCAAAUAUUUAGAUCUCUCUUGCACUUGCUGUUGCUCAUGUCUUAAUUGCGCAGAGAAGGAUGGAGAAGUCAAGAACAGGCAUCUUUCUGUUGUAUCUGAAGUUGUAUCCUGGGCGAUAUGAGGCAAGUUAUUGUCUACUUAGUACCGAUGAUGAAUUGUCUACGUUAUCGUUGCUAAAAUUUUAUCGCGAUGCUGCAGAUAAAGUUUAUUGUUGAUGGUACCUGGAAAAUAGACCCGCUGCUUCCCACUGUGAAUAAUAACGGCAAUGAGAAUAACCUCCUAAUCGUUCCUUAACUCCAAGUUUGCCGACCUUGUAUGCAGUUUUGUAGACUCUUGUAGAUGAUAGUGUGACUAACACAACAUUGAUAAUCUGAUGUUUUCUUUCAUAACAGCAGCAUUAGAUUUGUGAAUUCUUAGUAGAACUCAUUUAAUUUUUAGUACAAUAGGGUGGUAGUCGUAUUUGGAUAUAUCUUCUUACAAAGAGCACUGAUGUGUGAUACUGUAGUCGCAACAUGUACUCUGUAAAACAAUUUUUCGUCUGAGGUAUAAGCAUCAGAAAUUCCUAUAUUUGUUGCUAGUUAACAAAUUUGGACUAAAGACAUGGUACUGCAUGUGCAUGUAAGUAAUUAAGCUAAAAUGUUAUGCAUGAGUUUGAGCUGCCUCUUUUAUUGAACAUAAAACAAAAUUUUGGGAUAGUACUCUAUCCAGAGAUAAAAAUAUCAAUUCGGAUGCUUUAUCGGCGAAAUUGAAUAUUCGGGCUUCAAUUGUGCUGCAUUCGAGAAAUUAUUCCCUGCACUUGAUUUGGUGUUCAAAUUUGAUUUUUGUCAUGUAAAUCUUUUGAAUAUCGCACAGAACACAUCAAAUGAGUUAAAUUUUUGAUUUUGUGGAGUCUAUCAUAGAGGUGUAGGACAUGUACUUAAAACCUUUUUCAUCACAUCAAGCAUUGGAGCUACGCACUUGAUCACAAAGGAUUUGCAUUAUACAAAAUAUAGUAUUCAUUGCUGAGUGUCGAUGUAUACAAAAUACAAAGCAUACACAACUUGACUCCCAAACCUGAUGCAGGUUGCUGAGUCCCUCACCAAACCCACUCCCAUUUCAAAGCUUUUGUUUCUCUACACAAAUCACUCACCAUUCCACUUCUACUCACCCUUCUAGUAAUUUAUAUAUGUAAUAUGUAAUCAUCCUUAUCACACUUUCUAUCCAAUCCAAGCAAAGUAACUUCAUGUAGCAAUAGUAGAAAUAGAUUCUGCUACACAAGUGUUGCGCACUCUCUCACUCUUGUUGCUAUUUGAGAGAAAAAAAAAAAAAAUUCCCAGGUUAUCCAACAACUUAGAAGAAGCCCCAUCACUACCAAUUUUCCUUGAGAAUCAUCUAGCUACUCUGCAUUACUCCCAUUUUGCUCAAGAAACUCACAGCUUUUAUGGAACUACUUUACCUUCCCCGCCCCCUUCUCCGGCCUCCACCUUCGCCGUCUCCGGCGUGCCCUUGUAUCUGUAGGAAUGCGCGCACACCACGAAAUACGCGAAAUUCACGGCGCCCAUACCGGCUAACACGUAGUAGAAGUAAUCCAACUUCCCUGUGUUUAUGUUGUCGUUCAGCCAGCUCGGCCGCCCGUCGCCUCCCGUGCUCUUGUGUAUCACGGCGACGAUGAUGCUGCUCAGGUAGCUCGCCCCCGCCACGCUGCAGUAGAAGAGCGACCCGGCGAUGGACUGCAUUUGCUCGGGGAACUGCCGGUUGUAGAACUCGAUCUGACCCACCGCGUUGAACGCCUCGGCGACGCCCAAGAGAACGAGCUGCGGCGCAAGCCACAGGGCGGAGAGGGGCGAAACGCCGCCGUGGGCGAUGGCCGAGCGCCUCCGCUUCUCUUCGACCAGUCCGGCCACCACCAUGGAGAAGACGGAGAUCACCAGGCCCACUCCUUGCCGUUGGAGCAAUGUUAUCCCGCUCUCGAUACCUGUUGAAUAUGAAAUAUUACGAUAUAUACAUGUACAAAUAUAUCUUCAAUAAAAACAACCUGUUUACACGACUAUCCCUCUCCAAAAGAGAUGUAUAUCGUACAUCCCACUCAUCUAAAUUUCAUUCUCUGGAUGAAUUGGUAUAAAUCAUACAUUACAAAAUAGAGUGUAUGGAUAGCUUUUUCUGUUGUGGAGUUAACUCUAAACAGUUUACGCUUUUGGAGGGAAACAAUAAAACGGCUUGUUUUACGUACCGGUGAUGCGUCUAGCGAGGGGGACGAAGAGCUGGUCGUAGAUGGGGAUGAAGAGGGUGAGGGUGAGCAAGGCGAUGGUGGCGAAGGAGCCCGCGGGGAUCUGGAAGUGCGGUCCGAGGUGGCGGUCCAUUGUCAAGGCCUGGAGCACUGCGAAGGUCCACUGCUGGGCCAAGGCCACGAAGCAGAUGAUGCCGGCGGCCCAGACGGGGAUGAUCCUGAUGAGGCACUUCAUCUCCUCAACCUGCUGCACGCUGCAGAGCCGCCAUGGGUUUGCGACGCUGCCGUCUUCUUUGACCUCGCCAUCGCAGACGAUCGCGGCCUUAUUCAACCAACUGAACAUAAGAAAAGCGAAAAACAAGACAAUGUGCGAGAGUUUAAGUUCACUUCUAUCAAUUUAUGUAAAAACAGAAAUGCAGAACACAAGUAUGCCGGAUCGUUGGUGUGGAUCGGUGGCGCUAAUUAUUAGAAAUACGCAACCAACUGUGGGUCUUGAUUGUGACUCAAUCCAACCAGUCUCACACCACUUUGAAUAUAAUUUGGUCCAAACUGAGCUCCCGCCAUUUCGAAUGUAACUCAGUUCAAUCUGGCUUUCCGCCGCAGGGCAGAAUGUUGGCCCCACUAAGCCAACAAAGGAAACUAUAUUGAUCAGCUUUUCCUAACCUGAACUGGAGUGUCAACGGAAGCCGCGUAAUCCGCGAGCCCUUAGCGAGCUGUCCGCGAUACAGCUUCGCCUCCUGCUCCGCCGCGUCCUCCGCUGCGGGCAGCUGCAGCCGCCUCUUCCUUAUCGCCGCGACGAAAGCGUGCACCACCCCGGAAAAGACGCUCCCUUCGGGCAGCACGUAGACGUACAGCCUCGUGCCGAGAAAGAAGAACGCGAUCGACAGCACCAUGAGGCACGUCGGAAUGCUGAACCCGAGUGUCCAGCUAUACGAAUCCUGGAUGUAGACAACGACGGUCAUGCCGAUCAGGACUCCGGCCGUGGAGGUGCAGUAGUACCAGUUGAAGUAGCUGGCGAGGCCGUGGCGGCCCUUCUCGGUCUCCUUGUCGAACUGGUCCACGCCGAAGGGCAGGCUGCACGGGCGGAUGCCGCCCGCACCGAGGGCCAGCAGGGCGAGGGAGAGGAUGAGCACGCCGAGCUGCGCGUGGGACGGGCCCGCGCAAUGCCCGGUCAGGGCCGUCGAUUGGCUGCAGCUCGGCGGGCGGAGCUGCCGGAUUGCUGAUGUCAGGGUUAGGAUCACCAUCCCCUGCAAUAAUUGUACUCUCUUGCUGCAUUAGCCAAAAAUUUGAUACUAGCUAGGUGGAAUCUUUGCAUGAAAGUUUUCAUUGGCUUUGCACUUAGUUCUAAGCUGAUUUACAAAUUGCAAGCAAAAAAGGGGAUCAAAUCACAUAAAGGAAUUAUUAUACUUAGUAACUACUAUCAAAAUCUUGGGGGGCUUGUUUGAAUGUUGGAACAAGUUAUCUCUCAAUAAUUUGUGUGAAACAAAGUUUUUUAUUUUUUUAGUGUGGUUGCAAAUUGGAAGAUCACAUUUAGUCCGUUCCAAGUUCUCGAGUUCUUGAUUUUCAGAAAUAUUGUGCACCGCAUACAACGUAAUUGAUCUUACUCCGAGAAAAUGACCUGAGGAUUAAGUAAGCUAUUCCAAUUACUCUAGAUGCGUGAAUAUCUUGUUCGGCACCUCUCUUUUAUUUUUUCAGAAAGAAUGCGGAAACUGAUAGACAAGUAGUAUGAUCGGAUGUCUAUAAUGGCUCAACUAUAUCUAACCUUCACAUCUUAUAUUUGGAACUAGAUAAAUCAUCUGGUAAGUGCAAUGCAUCAUUCCAACAACUCCUCAGUGCCCAUCAACAUUUUGUAUGUAAAGGUUAAAUGCAAUAUUGAAAGCAAAAGAAAAAAUUUUUAAAAAAAAGAAAAACAACCUGACACUACACAAGUUAUUACUUUGUAGAUUAUCUUAACAUCCUAACGAGCCUGUAAUGAACUAAGCAGACAUAUAUAUGCCGAUAUACUAAAAGAACAAAUCACCAUGAGAAACAACUUAUUACUAAAUAACUUAUUCUAACAUUCUAACAGAUUCUAAGCUAGUAUAGUUCAUGGGUAAUGUGGUCGAUCAGGUUCAGCAGAUGUUAUACCAUACAAGAGAAGCUGAACUAGCCUAAUAUGGAAGUAAAAUGCUACCUUGCAUCUUACAUUCUUAAAUUCUAUAGUUUAAAAAAUCUCUCAGGUUACCGACCGUCCCUAGAGCAAGUGGCAAAAGAUUUGAUGGUUGGUACCCGAGACCCAAAUUCGAAUUCUAGUUGAUUCACAUUUUCAACUAAGUUUAUUUUUAAAUGAAAUAAACGAAGCGGGUUGCAUGUUACCUAUCUCUCAAAAGAAAAAAAAGAAAAAAAUCUCUCAGGUUUCUCAGUAAAGACCAAAAAAAAGAAAGAAAAAAAAAAAAAUGGUAAGUCAUAGGAAUUCUAGGGAAAAAUAUUGGUGCACAGCUAGCAUUGCCUAGUAGGGAAAUAUUGGGGUUGGUAGGGAGAUUCAUACCAUGUGGUGUCCCCCAAUAAAUAAAGAGUGAUGAGACUUAAAGCAUUUGGUACAUUAUUUUGGGAGAGUGAACUUAAACUACAUUAUAAAGGCCAUAGAAUCUUUCCUAAAAGCAAUGAAAAGGACAUGCCUAAUUUAUUAGCUCAUUUAGGUUUCAAAAAAUGGAUAAGAGUAAUGAUAUUUCAAUUUUUUCCCCACUUUUAACAAGCCUAGGCUCACUUCUCUAUCUCCUCAUACCUCUUUGCUGCAUGAUCUCCAAAUUUCAGAUUUUACAUUUGCACCCUAAUUUUGUCCCCCUUUUUUUUUUUCCUUUUUUUUGCCGAUUUGGCAAACAGAAUUGGCUCAUUGAAUUUGCCGAUUCAGCGAUUAUAGCAAUAUUCUUCUUUUUUUCCCCUCCCAUUAUCUUUUAUCUUUGUCUUUGUCGAUCACUUCUUAGGAACACGUCGGCGGCGCUCAAAGCCAUGGAUGCUUCUACCGGGGCGGAAAAGUUGAAAAUUAUGCAUUAGGUUACUUGAUUUGAAGCUCGGUGAUUAUUUUUAUCUGUUUUACUUUCUUUUCUUUUUUUUUCUUUUAUGACGAGUUUAAAUUUUAGAGUUUGAUUAUUCUUUUUUUAAGUUUUUCGUGUUUGGGACCGUGUAUUAAUUAAAAUCUUCUCCUUUGUUGUUAGUUUGUUUAGGUUGGAAUUUUACUUACAAUUUUUCCCUACUUAAUAGAUGAUAUGCUCUUUAUUGCAUCCGUAAAAUUUGUAAUCAAGCUCUUCUUCAACGAAUUUCGCCUACGGACUUUAUUCUAUGAAAAUAAAAAAAGGGGAGAAAAAAAGUACAAAGACCCUCUAAACUUUGCUUGUUUUAUAAGUUAGCGCCUAAACUUUUAAUUUUGACAAUUUGACACCUUAAAUUUCAUCAACUAGGUCGAACAUGUCGCUCUCCUCAAUCAAAGUUAUCAAUUACACAAUCGUUUUUAAUUAAUAUUGCAUGCAUAAUCUUAUAAGAUAACAGAAACACAAAGUUCAUUAAUUUUUAUUGUGACUCGAUCUAAUCUAGCCUCGAUGUAGCCCUUUUAAGCCAACAUACUAAUCUAAAAAAUUUUCUUGGGAGAAAUAAGAAUAUAUUUCAAUCUUUAUAUCUAUCUCAAGAAAAGUUUUAAGACCAUUUGGAGGAAAACCUUUUUUUUUUAGAGAGAAAUGUAGCAUACUACUAUUCGCUUAAUUUAUUUUUUUUAAAAAUAAAUUUAGCUAAAAAUGUGAAGUAACUAGGUUUUUAACUUGAGACCUCACUAAUCAACCAGAAAGCUCUUUACCACUUGCGCUAAAAACGAUUGGUAAUUCGAGAAAAACUUGCCCUAGCUCGAAACGAGCCUUUCGUAGAGACUCUCGAAAGCUCUCCUCAAAUAAAAAACAUAUUCGCGGUCACUUCUAUCUCAAGAAAACUUUAAAAACUUUGGUUUUCUCGUCUACUUUGACCCGACCCGACCCGACCCGGCCCGUCCUGACCCAUCCUGACCAGUAUAAAUACACAAAAAACCAACCUAAAUGCCUGAAUUAAUGGUUGGGGCCAUAAAUGUUAGCCCCACAGCAAUUGUUUGAUGCAGCAACUUAUUAUUGUCGUGUUGCUACAAGAGGAAUCUAAUUAAUACUCACACCUAAUUACAGUGCCUACAACAUUAAGAAAUUAAUCUAUAUAAGGUGUGACGUGCACAAUAAUUAAUGUAGCUUCCUCGUUCGUACUUGUAUAAUUCAUUUAUUUAUCUCUAGAGAAAAAUUAUGAGCUUCGAUGCGUACCGCGAUUUCACAUGCUAUAUAUACGGUCCACGAUCUUAGUCAAACUAAGCAGCAUCAUUUAACUACACUUCUAUUUCUUUAUCUUCUUCAUUUAUUCAAAUCGGUCUAUUUUGGUCCUUUAAUUUUAAUUAGUAUAAACUAUUCUCUUCAAGCAGAGAAUUCAACAAAAAAAAAAAAAAAAAUCAACGCUGCGUCUAAAUCUUGCUUUAAAAUUCGUCCCCAAGAUGGUAUUCUACUAAUUAAGCCGUACAUAAAUAAUUUAGUAGAAUACGUUUCGAUACUACAAUUAAAAUAUAAAAUGUUAAAUUAUUGAUUCUGAGUGCGAAUCUCGAAAAAGAUUGGCAGUUAGGAUAGUUCUUGUAUAUAUUUUUUUGGGUUAAAUAUACAUAAGCUCUCUAUAAGCAUAUCAAAUAACAGAUAUAUUUCUAUAAAAUUUAACAUUUUAUAUUUAUCCUAACAAAAAUUCUAACAUUUUCAAAUAUAUUUCUGUAGUUAGGAUUCAUUCUGAUUAGUGAAUGAGAUAAAUUGAUCUUUUUAUUUCUUUUAUAUUAUUUGUGAUGGUAGAAAAGAAAAAGAUCGUUGAGAAUUUAAGAGAAGACAUUUUUGAAUAAUUCUAGCAGUUUGGAUUUUUGGAAGGUAUAUUUGUGAUGAUAAAAAUGUCAUUUUACUUAUCUUCUGUUAAAAAAAAAUUUACUAUUCGAUAUAUUUACAGAAAAUCAUAUAAAAAUUAAUUAUUUAUUUUUAUUUGAGUGCUAUCCGACGGCUCAUAUUCAAUGGGUCGAAACUAGUUAAAAUAGAAAGAGAGGAGGGGUGGGGGGGAGAAGAGAGAGUGUUUGUGUACCAGUAAGGAGGCGAAGGAGGCGUAGGCGAGGGUGCGGAAGCGGCCCCAGUAGGCGUCGGAGAGGAAGGCGCCGAGGAGGGGGGCGAAGUUGGCGGUGCCGUUGAAGACGUUGGCGACGUUCACCGCCACCAGCUGCUGCAUGUGGAAGCGCUUCACCAGGUACACCGUGAAGUUCGCCGUCAGCCCGUACGACGCCAACCUCUCGAACGUCUCGUUCCCUAUUUUUUUUAAUUAUUUUUUUUUUACAUUGAUGAUUAGAUCAGAUAAUCAAACACAAUCAUCGCUACAACAGCGUUUGAAAAUGCUUAUAUAAUUAUCGUAAAAUUUAUAGCUAUAAUUUAUAAUAAUUUUUAUUUAUUGUAAAAAAUUAUUACUACAACAAAAAAAAUUAGAAAAUACUACUUAACAUUCUAAAAAAAAAAAAAAAUGCAUGAUUUACACCCUUUCGUUCAAGAGUGUAAAAUUUUUUUAAAAUUUUAUAAAAGUAAAAAAAAAAAAUUUAUGAUACCAAUUUACGCAAACUAUAUAUUGAAGUGUACCGCUUGGCAUUACUCUUAAUUAAUUAAUAGUUAUCAAUAAUAACACUAUUUAUUGUUAGAAAACAAUAAAUUAAGUUUUAGUAGUGUUUGUACACUUCGAACCUAUGGGGCAUAUAAUUAAGUUUUAGCACCGUACGUACUGCUCCCAAAUUAACUAAUUAGGCCGUAAAAAGCUUUCCAAAGAGGAGGAAAAUUAAUUAAUUAUCAUACACGCUAAUUAAAUAAAUAAACCCCUCAAAAUCAAUUAUGUAUACAUAGAUAGAUAGAUAGAUAGAUAGAUACAUCCAAAUAUAGUUAAAAUUAAUGGGCUCAAACCCACCCAUCUUUAGGUUUUUCAUCAGGAAAAACUCUGAAAAAAUUAAGUUGUAAAACUUAAUUUUGAAACUACACAAAGUAUAUAUAUAAUUGGGGGGAGGGGGGUCGUCGCAUAGAUAAAUUGGUGGGAGCGCACGCACCGAUGAUGUAGGGCAUGCAUUUCCAUCCCCCGGGCUCUCGCUUCUUCGCCUCGACGUCGACGUCGACGUCGACGACCCCUCCUCCUUCGACCAGCUUGGUCUCGUCGGAGGACUCGUUUCCCAAGAAGGGGGAGCAACUCACGCAAUCUACGAAGCUCCGCAUAAGACACUUCAUGCCACCCAUUUUGUAAUAAUAUUUCCUGAUCCCCCCACUCCAAUCCCCCCCUUCUCUCUCUCUCUCUCUCUCUCUCUCUCUCUCUCUCUCUCUCUCUCUCUCUCUCCUCGAUCGCCUAAAGAGCGAGUGAGCUCUACUCCUUGUUAUAUAUAUAUAGAGAGAGAGAGAGAGAGGGGUAGACCGGUAUAUUAUCAGUAGUACAGAGGCUUCCGUACUACUAAGUUAUUUUUAAUGAAAUAGUUUCUAAAUCGACAAUCGGCUCUGCUAUAUUUGAUCUAGACUAUUGAAAAUAUUUGAAAACUAAAUUUCAUAAUUUUUUUACAUCAUUUACUUAUCAAACGAAUAGUCUAAAAAUGGACGGCUUAAAAUAAAAAUUUUAUAAAAAAUAAUGAUAAAAGACUUGAAUUUAAGAUCGAGAGGUACUGUUCUUGCUUUAAGUAGUAAAAAAAAUUUUUGUAAAAAUUUCAUCAGAUUUGAAUUGCUUUACACCGUUAAAUUCACAAAUACAUCAUAUCGAUCAUUAAAAUUGUCAAUUUUGAGACAUUUUGAUUACUAGCCAAAUGAUUUCGAAAAAUUAUAAAAUUUAGUUUUCAAAUACUUUUAAUAAUUUAGAUCAAGUCUGACGGAGCCGAUCGUUGAUUUGGAAGCCGUAUUAUUAAAAACAACUUGAUAGCACGAAAACCUUCAUGUUACCAUAGUAUACCAGCCUAACUCUCUCUCUCUCUCUCUCUCUAUAUAUAUAUAUAUAUAUAAAACGAAUGAAAAUAAAAUGAAAAAGGAGUGUGAAAAAUGAAGAAUGAAAAAUGAAAAAUGAAAAGGAGGGGUGUUUUAUUUAAUUUAACUACAUAGAGAGAUUGAGGGACGUUUUUUCAAAAUAAUUUUUAAAAAUUUGUAAAAUAAUCUUUCAAAAUUAUAUUUAGAAAACUAAAACUCCUUUCACUAGAUAGGCGACAGGAUGAAGUUUUUCUAUAAAGACGACGGUGAACGAUUCACCGUCUUUCUAAUGUAACUAAUGAAAACGAUGAAUGAUUCACCGCCUUCACUAAGGGUGAACCAUUCAUCGUAUUUAGUGCAACUUUACAUCCCUCAGAAAUUUUCUUAGUCCUGAGGUCAGAUUUUUUCUAAGUCUUCGACUAGGUCGAAAUAUAGAUAAGACAGUAAAUCAUUAACCGUCUUCAUAAAGAAUGUAAACGGUUCAUCGUCUUUAGUGCAAACUGCUCCAACCCUCUUCCUCAAGUCUUCAAUAAUAAUUUUUACAAGUUUGGAACAAAAAUUUUUACGAAAAUAAAAAUUUCGACAAGAAGCAUAAAAAGACGACGAAUGAUUCACUGCCUUCAUUCACCGUUUUUAUUAGUUAUAUUAGAAAGAUGAUGAAUCAUUCAGCGUCUUUCUGCCUUCAUAGAAAAACUCUGCCUGGCAUCUACGCGCUGAAAAAAUGAUUAAUUUUUUAAAUAUAACUUUAGAAAAAUUAUUUCGUAAAUUUUAAAUUUUAAAAAAUUAUUUUAUAAACAGUCUGAGAGUGAGAGAUAGAGUCUGAGAGUGAGAGAUAGAGAGAGGAGGGGAGGACCGAAGGAGUGGGUGGGAAAAGGGGUGGGAGGAGAGAAGGGCCACGUGGGUGACGCGAAACCGCGUUGGAACACAUCUAAGAAGGGGACAAUCAAUGUUUUCGUGCAUGCACCCGGUCCACCACGUCAGCUAAUUAUUUUUAAAUAUUUGGGGUAAAUUACGUGCCCUCAAAUUUUAAAAAUAUCAUAGGUGCCCGUUCCAAAUUGUCGACCUCUCAAAAUUUAUAAACUAUAUCAUAGGUAUAUUUUUUUUGGAAAAACUUUAAAAAUUUUUCUUGUGGUUUUAAUUAUUUUUACUUUAAUAUUCUAUGGUUUAAAAUAUAUCAUGUUAGUAGCACGUGGUUUCCUCACUUUAUCACUUUAGUAUCCUGUGGUUUAAAGUAUAUAAGUUAGUACCCUGUGGCUUUGUACUUUAUCACUUUAGUACCAUGUGGUUUUAAUUUUGCAUCAAGUUAGUACCCUGUGGUUUUUUAAAUCACAGGAUACUAAAGUGAUAAAGUGUGAAACCACAGGAUACUAAAGUGAUAAAGUGCAAAACCACAGGGUGCUAACUUGAUACACUUUAAACCACAGGAUACUAAAGUGAUAAAGUGCAAAACUACAGGGUACUAACUUGAUACACUUUAAACCACAGGAUACUAAAGUGAUAAAGUGAGAAACCACAGAAUACUAACUUGAUAAACUUUAAACCAUAGAGUAUUAAAAUGGAAAAGUGUGAAGCCACAGGAGGAGUUUUGGAAGUAUUCCCUUUUUUUUUAUGUCAAUGUUUGAUAAAAAAUAUUUAGUUAUUACUGGUUAAAAAUUUUACUUGAGUUAAAAUAUGUAGGCUAAUUAUAUUUAAUAUUUAUCAAAAUAAUUGAUCUCUUACAAUGGAAAAAGUUUAAAAGUACUCUGAUAUCAUAUAAAAUAAUUAUUUAUUUUUGAAAUUGUAAGCGGCUAAUUAAUGAUAUUUUUAUAUUUUAUAUUUAACAAGAGUUAUAAAUUCUAUGAGAAUAUAAUUAAUAAAUCAAUGCUAACAAACUACUUUUAACCAAUUUAUAAAUAAUCUUUUCUUGUUAAAAUUACACUCCAUCCUAACUUUAAUAUAUUUUUUAAAAUAAAUUAUUUAAAAAAUUUAU
rnacentral:lncRNA from 1 species